rnacentral:lncRNA from 1 species
UUUGAGGUUGUGUCAGAGGUUUUAGUUGAUACGCUGAUUGGCAAAUAAGGAUAAACAAAACUGACGUCAAAUUGUCGGGACAAGAGUUGAUGGUUAUAAUUGUGGAUUCUCUCCAACAACUUACCGUUGAAUGAUGCAACUUUCUCACUCCAAGGUCUAUGUUCUUUGGAAUCCUUUUGUCUCAUUUCUUGGGACUUAACAUAUUAUAGACAACUGCACUAGUUAUCAUGUCAACAAAUAUCUCAUUGUAUGACUGUAUUAUGUUACUCCUUGUUGUAACAAAAAUUACCUAUUUAUGAUAAGUUGGAACCACUUUUAGUGUCAUCAAAUUCACUAAUGCACCACCACAAAGUCAACAAUCACAACUCUCAUCAUGUUACCAUUUCCAAUCUAUUAUUUGCUAACAUGAUAUCUCAAAUUCUCCACUAUUUUGCAUAAAUGGCAAUAUAUUGUUCCAUAAAUAUAAAUGUUACUAUCUUCUAGAGUUCCUGACAUUCAUCUAGUCCUUACAUUGCAUCUAGAGUCUUAGCUAUAAUCCCAUUUUAUUGCCUAAGCAAUAAAACCAUUUGUCACCACCUUUUGUAAUAUUUGAAUUGCUUUACAUACAGUUCCUAAGAAUAAAAGAACAUACAACUCUCAUAAGGAAGACAAUUUGAUGCAGCACAAGGUGCAACCAACAAGUACUUUGAUCAGCUAGAUCAUACCAAACUUCUCAGGAGCAACAGAUUCAUAGGCGAAGAUUUUGCACGAGCUAAAAGUUUGUGACCGAGCCUCUUAUAAAUUUUCAAUUACAGAAGGAGUCAAAUUUUAGCUAGAUUUUUAUAUUUGUAGUUGAAUAAUUCUAGCAUAUUUUCUUAUUACUAAGUCCUAUUUCUAGUAUAGUUUUGUACUAGGUUGAAGUCCCAAAUUAGGAUUAAGGGUCAUGUCCUAUAUAUGCUUCUACUACAUUGUAUGAUGGUAGCUUUUGACAUAUUAAUAAAAGAAAUUCUUGGAGAGAACUUCCUUCAUGAAACGAAGGGUUCUUCAAUCCAGUUUUCCUUCAAUUUAUAUGUAUAAUCUCCAAAGUGUAAUUCCUGGCGAUCCAAUAGCUCUUCACUCCUCAUGCAACAUCACUUCCUAAUAUCCACAAAAAAAUUAAGGGCAAACCUGUUGAUGUUUAAAUCAACAAUAGUUAGUAAAAGAGUUUACAGUAAUGCUGUGAAUUAAAUAGUGUUGGAAGACCUCAGUAACAUUAUCGAGCCCAUAUAUUCAAGCCCCUGUCUCAUGUCUCGGAUAACCCUCAACCUCUCAUCUUAAAUUCUUUGGAAAAAAAGAAUGAAUUCAAUUAAGAUGGUGUUUUAACACAAUCCCUACAUGCAAUUCUUGGUUCACUUGUUGCAAUCCAGAAGGUUAAAGAUAAGCAUUAUGAUAUGUGUUCGCUUGGCAAUUUAUCUUUGCAAGGCUUUGACAUACUGGAGAUUCCAGUUCACUCAUAUAAACACAUCAUUCCUAGGAAAAGUUCAGUCCUGUCUCCUUUACCACUUCCACGUGUUACAAGCUUACCUGCCCCCAAAUCAUACAUCUAGCCUCCUUUUAUCACCCAUUCAUCACGUUCUUCUUGCUAACCACUAACAAAAACUAUGGUUAAACUAUACAAAUUCAAAGGCCCGAACAAAUCCAAAAAAAAACCAACUUUACAUCAUAUAAAACAAAACCCAUUAGACCGCGAUUCUUGAUAAACCCAUCACCGAAUUCAUCAAGAAACCCAGAACUCAUGAAUCAAAAGAAAGAAAGGUUGGGAAGGGGCAAGCACCUGGACUCCGCCUUCGCCGGGACCGCAAGGAAUGAGGACGGGCCCUAUGCUAGGCCUCUCGACUGUGAGGGGGACCUGGACCCUGAACCCUUUGGCUCGGCCGCGCGGCAAGCUCUUCCCCGUCCGCUUAUUCUCCUCCUCCUCCUCGCCGCCGUCGCCGCCGGCGGCAACGGCGGCGGCGGCGGCGGCGGCGGCCCCGUUUGCUUCGUCCCUCGCGAGGCCAAGAAAACCGGCGAUCCUCCGGAAGAACCCCAUUCUCGAUCAAGAACCACUCGACGAGGAGAUUUAUGGUUUGGGAAGGGGUGGGGGGGUCCGAGAGGGGUGGUGGGUGGGGCUUUUUAUCUUGGGGUUUUAACCGCGAUGGAAGAAGGUAAAAGAGACUGUAGUUUUUUUCAUAAAAAACAGACGUGUAGAUCGGAAUUUCUGAAGGAUCGCGGUCGUAUGCUUCGGGCGAAAAAAUUCACCUUCCUUCGCGCCGAUCCACCGUUGGAUCAGUCACUGCAUAGAUCUCCAAGCGCUCCGAACUCUUAUCAUUCAUCCACCGGCACAGCUCUCAAAGCGAGGAAGGCGCGCAAAGGAUCCAACAGCGAUACAUUCCUGAAUUGCCCCUUUGGUUGUGAAUACCAAAUUCUUGGAGAUCCACGUGGCGGUUGCUUGAUUGCUUCCACGGAUCGCCAAAGCGCGUAACGUAUCAUACCAGCAGUGAACCAAGAUUUUGGUACAACAUGCCAAGUCGACCCUUAUACCACACAUAUCAAUAUUAUACCAAUAAAUAUCUUACGGAAUCCGGCACUCCGACACGAGUAAUGCUUGUCGUUAGAUUUGUAUAUUUAGUUACGGUUAAUCUGAAGAGGAAGAGGAUGAUGCCAAUCUUUAAAGCCUUGUCAAAGUUUUUAAAAGAAAGUGCCCUAAUCACUAAGGAGCGAUUUGCCAGGAGAGUGUUUAGCUAUGGUUGCUUGAUGGGUAUCUUCUAUAGUUGUAUCCAUCUUUUAUUAAUUUCAUAGCUUUUUUUAAAAAAGAGAGGGAGAGAGAAUAGGAGGGCAAUACACCAAAUCAUAUUGCAUAAUUUUUCCUUUUUUAUGUCAUGAUUUGAUAAUGUGUCAAGUUUGACAGGUAACUAUAGAUAUUAUCAGUUGAAUAAUCUUAUUAGUUGAAUAAUCACGUGCAUUGCUAAUUAUAUGUGGUUGAAAAGGAGGUAAAGAAUGGUAACCUUGAUAAUGCUAAAUUUGAAGUUUGGAGACUAGAUAAAAUAUUUGGACUUAUUUUUUCUAUUCUUUUAUAUUCUCUAAUGCCAUGCUUAUUUUGAUAGUUUGUAGUACCCAACAACACUAAGCAUAUUGACUCAUACUGAUAAGAAAUCAAUGCUUGGUACGUUUCUCGCAUAAAUGUAGUUACCAAGUAUAGUUUUUAUGAGCUGAACCAUGAACCUUAGUUAUUUCAAAGAUAAAAUAGAAUAAAGCAAAGUUUGUUUUUGAUGCUUCAAUUAUUAGAUAAGUUUUAUAUAUUUGUUAAAAAGCUAAAUAUAUUCUUUGGUCCCCUCGGUAAUGUUGGAGGAGGAUUUUUUAUCAUUUUGAAAUUAAUCAACUAUGGGUGAGAUAGGUAUAACAUGAAAAUACCAUGGUUAUGCUGGUAUGGGAUAAGUGUUAUUGAGAAGAUAGUUGACAUUAGCUAGUUUCUAAUUUUGUUAUAUUAUCACUACUUUUUACCAUAUUCUUAUGUGCGCUUUUUCUACAUAGACCUUAGACCAAGAUGGUCCGAUUUUCUUGAUCACUUUGUUAGAUUAUUCCAUACUUUACUUUCAGUUUUUAAUUUUUAAUCUCUAACUUUUUUUGGAAAGAAAAUAUUAUUGUAUAAGUUUUUCAAAUUAAUGACCAACUGAAUUUAAAGUGUAAUUAAGAUUCCUCCAUAAGGAAGUCAAUUAAUUUGUUGGAAAAGAAUAAAACUCAAAAUUACAAAUAGUUUCAAGCAACUCAACCAAGUAUCUAACACGAAGCUCACUCUUUUGCCGGUAUCGCUUGGUAGAAGAGCCACUUGAAAAAUAAUGAGGAAGCCAAAAUUCAAAAACUCCAUGCUUUUAUAACCGCAUAGGCAUAAGAAUUAUGGAUAAUUGUUAUAACAAGCUUAACAUAAUAAUUAUUGAGAAAUGAGGCAGGAGUCUCCUAUUUUCUUACCUUCCAUCAAGUUUUAUUUUUAAAAAAUAUAUUUUGCCUUUACGUUAACUAAAUUCAUUUUUUCUUCUUUUAACAAGAAAGAAUGAAAUUUAUGACACGCUUUACAAUUUUCAUGUUUGUUGAAACAUUAAUGUCAGAGCCGCAUAUUGAAUUAAUAUUGUAUAUUCUAUAUUUUAUAAUACGGUUAAUCAACAUGUUAACUAACCGAUAACAAUAAGUUGGAUUUUUUUUUUCUUGCAGUAUUUCGAUGUGCCAUAAGCAUGAAAGUGGUUCAAGAAAUUUUUUUUUUUAUAAGGGCUAAAAAUAAAUCAUUUAUUUUGACUUUUGACCCAUGUUGGGUGGAUCAAACUGGCGUUUCCCUGGAGGAACCAUGUGAUUCUUACCUUCAUAUUGGAAAUUUCGUGCGUGAAAAAAAGAAAGGCUAGCGAGGGGAACGCCGGAAGAAGACUUCCGCGCUCCGACCGACUUCCAGCGCUCCGACCGACCUCCCGCCUCCCCCAACGCCACAAGACUCAAUCCUUCUCUCUCCAGCUUGCGUCGCAAAAACGCUAGCUCAAUCUUUGAAACCCUAGAUCCGAGAUCUCGUUUUCUCGUAACCAGAGAAGGGGAAGACUGCCAUCCCUUUGCCCCCCCGCCCCCCUCUCUUUGGAGGUAGGGCUAUCUAAUCGCCGUGAUCUGGGGUUAAUUUGGCCUAGGAAGAGAUGCCUGUGGCGGCGUCUGCCAUAUACUUCCUCAAUCUUCGUGGGGAUGUUCUCAUCAACCGCCUCUACCGCGAUGACGUCGGGUGAGAACACUUCCUGCGGACUAGGGUUUACGGAAUCUAAGUUUUGUUUGAUUUCUCGGUGUAAUAACGAAAUUUGGGCGUUACGAUAUGUUUUCUACAUUCAAAUCAUGUUUUUCUUUUGCAAGAAUGCUGAGUGAUCUGCUGAACUACUUGUGCCACGAAUAAGAAUUUUUAAAUAUCAAAUUUGUUGGUUCUAAGCCACACUUUGCUUUUGAUGAACUACAAUUGAAUAGCUGAUCUCUUCACAUGAUAUCCUUUUAUAAUUAAAUUACCACAUAUUACUGGCUCGUCAUUGUGAUCAUAUUCGCACAAUAAAAAAAUCUGAUUAGUUGAUGUACACUGCAUGUUGUUUUUACCAUGUCUUGAAUUUAUAGAAUGAUGCUCUUGAAUUUUCAUUAGCAUUAAUGGAAAUAAUUUAUUCAUCUCCUAAUUUUAUAAUUUCAGUUAAGACUUUGGUCGGAAGUUGAAUUUGGUAUGGUGUCUCUUGCAAAGAAGCCUUUGUGUAGAGGGACUGAAGAGGUGUCUCUUUGUCCACCUAAUCCAACUUGCAUUUGUUUCAAGAUUUGAUGAUGAGGAAGCAAUAGGAGAAUGGACUUUGGUUUACUUCUUGUAAAUCUAUACUCCAAGAUAAUGAAUCAUGACAGUGGUAGGAGUAUAGAGAUAGGAUGCCUUGAAUUUGCCACAUUUCUCGAUUUCUGUUCUAUCAUUAAUGUUCUUAAAUUUUUGAGUUUAAUUUGCAAACAAUUUGACUCCUCCGACUUAGUUCAUUUUAUGCACUUUGGUCUAUCAUUUGUACAUGCAGUAUAUAUCUUAAAGACCUGCAUUAACAAUCAUCUGUAUUCUUCUUCCAUCAUUUCUUGCCGGUGGAGAUCCAAAAAAACUGUAUCAUAAUGUAUCACAGUCACCCAGGCUGCUUGUUUUCUUGUAAUGACAUGCAUGCUUUCUCUAAAAUUGUGGCAUAUCCAGUGGCAAUAUGGUGGAUGCAUUCCGAAUGCAUAUAAUGCAGACAAAAGAACUUGGUACUUGUCCUGUCCGGCAAAUUGGAGGUUGUUCUUUCCUUUACAUGAGAAUCAGCAACGUGUACAUUGUGAUUGUUGUUAGCGGCAAUGCCAAUGUUGCUUGCGCUUUCAAGUUCGUCGUUGAGGUAUGCGUUAUCUAGUAUCUGUUUUCAAUUUCAAACUGCUGCUACUCCUGUCCUCCUCUAUCUGUUUAUAUGAUUAGUCGCAUGCAUGCGUGCUUGCCCCAAUGUAGUGCCAUUAGCAAGUGUAGCUAAAAGGGUAUCAGCUUAAAUUUCUAACUUUUGCUAUCUUAAAUUAAUCAAACCCCCUUCCCCGCACCCCUCCACCCCCAGCCCGCGCGCGCCGCAAAAAAAUAAAAAAGAAAGAAACGUAGACUCAGGCACACAAACUCACAGACAGAUACACAUAUUAUAUUUGAUGGCAUUAGCAUGCUUAGAUUUUACAUAGUAAGUUCCAUUCAAAUUUCUACUUGCAAGACCAUUAUAUUAGUGACCAGCUUUUUAUGUGUUGCUCUCCUUAUGGUUAACUUUUACCAGUGUGUUUUUUCAAGGAUAAGGACAGAGAGUUCUCUGGAGCAUCACGGCAAGUGUUCUGGAUGAGAGAGAGUUGCCAUGGAUCAUGUUUAUCUGUGUGAAAGAAUUUUACAAUCUUUUCCUUUUGAUAAUGAAUUUAAAACGUUUCAAUUCUUGUUAUAAACUUCACAUGGAUCGCAGGCAGUAAGGUUGGGACAGCUAAUACUUAGAUGCGACUUCUAGAAUAUUAAUAAAUAACAUGUUUGUUUAAGAUCAGAAAGAAAUCAAAGAUGAUUAAGGGAGUACAGGAUUGGAUGCGUUGGGGUGAAGGGAAGGAAUUACCUAUUCUUUUACAUGGCUUUAGAAAAUUAAGUCAGAAUUGGGAGUAUUUGCAAUGGAUGCUUAUCAGUUGAAAUAUGAAAAGGAAUUAAUGGGAGGGAAUGUACGAAAGGAAGGAAUUGCCUGACCCAGAGGUGUUUUUCUGUUGGAUCAAUCAAGGCCUGCGAGACAACUCUAGUGGAAAAGUUUCGAAGACUUUGGAUGGUUUCCUAAUAUGAGAAUAUCACAAUAUUAUAUGAUAUAUUUGUCAACUAUAUGCAAUGAGAAAUCUCAAGAAAAUUUUAUCCCAUCAUUUGUCCGUUGUGUGCAAGAAAUGUGGUGCCAAUAGGCCCUUCUUUUGCAUCAUAGGAAAAUCUUGAAGAUUUUAAAGCACUCACACAAAGGACACAUUUUUAGUUUUCUUCAUCAAUGGUACGAAAGCUAUCAUGUUUUGGAAUCUUGGUUGGAGUUCUAGCAUCUUCUACAAUGAAGUACCUCCUUUAGACUGAGCAAGUUAUAUGAAUGCUUCGAAGCUUGUGGGGAACAAGGGUUAAUGCUGCGGAAGUUAAGACUUUUCUUGUAUGUGCAGUCAUACUUAACAGAGUGAUAGAAGGGGGAUCCCACAAACACCAUCAAGUAGGCUUUCUAGGGUGUCACACCAUGGAAACUGGCAUUUUAUUUUUACAAAGGAAGUUGCAUUUUAUGAGAGGUUGUUGUAAGUUGCAAAUUGACUAGUGUCAUGAUAUGCUAAUGUAUUGUUAGGAGCGGAUGAGAAUGGUUGUGUCUGAAUUGGCCUAUAAUCUAUGUCAAUGAUUGAGUACUGUGUAGUCUAUAAUAUGUGUGAAUGGAGUACUAUGUGGCCCACUCAUGUUAGUUAUGAGAUACCAUGGUAUGGGAACAUGCCAUGUCAUGCUUACCAUGUGCCCAGCUAGUUGUCUAGGCUCAUGACAAUGUAAAAGGGCCUUGUGUUAGGCCACAUUGAUUCAUUUUGGAAUGUGCCAGAUGGCAUUUACCAACAUGGUUAAAUAUUGGUAUACAUAGCAAAGUUUCAAGUAUAGGUUUUAGUACUCAUAUUCGUAUGCAACCAGUACACCCUUUAUUGAGUGUCAGUAUGACACAUCCCUUGAUAUGACACUCCGUAGGGAAGGGUAGUACCAGUUUCUACCUGUACAGCAUGAAUAUACCUGGUAUGGACCAGUAUAGUCUGAUAUUUCAAUCCUUUCUACACAAGACAAUUUUGCAGUCCCUUGUAUCCUGCUUGUACCUGGUUGGGGUGGUGCACACCAUGUGAUAAAGAUUGGUAUACCUGCGUUGAAAUUCUUGGUCUAUAUUGCCUCAGUCUUCUUUGCAUGUAUUGUUAUUUAUCCAUUAUCAGUCAACAUUCUACUUACCACGUUCAAGAAACAGUGAAUAUCAUGCCACUUAAAUUUAUCUGAAUAUGCUUAACAAUACUUCCUGAAUAAUUGGAAUUUUUUGCUUAUGACCAUAACAUGAUUGUCUGUUUGUUGUUACUUCAUUCUACUACUAGAGAAGUAGGAUCCUAAAAGUUCUUACUACUGCUACAUUUGCAUGUACAAAUGUACGUAGAUGCAACAAGUAAGAAAUUCUACAAAUAUAUAUUGGAAGACAAGUAUUUAUGCAUUCUUGAUUUGAUCAGCUCAUAACUUAUCGUAAAACUGUUUUGUUUCCUAUUUUAGAAGAAUUGAGGGAAAAAUCUGUUCUUUCAGUGAAAAGAGAACCUAGUGGAAACCAUGAUCUUAAUGAUUCCUUUAUGUGGCAUGAUAGCAUGGCUUGAAACAGUUAUGAGCUGUUGAACUAUACUACAUAUGCAGCUGCGAACAGAAUUGGGCAAAAAUUUGCUUAUGUUAGUUUCCUAAUAAUAUUGUUUCAUUAGCAAUAAGCUUUUUUGACUUAUGACAGGCUGUUGCAUUGUUUAAGUCUUAUUUUGGUGGGGCAUUUGAUGAAGAUGCCAUCAGGAAUAAUUUUGUUCUGAUCUAUGAGCUUCUUGAUGGUAUGCAUCCGAAUCAUGUUAUUCUCUAUGCUGUCAUGGUUUCAUCCUCUUAUCUUCUGUUAGCUAUACUGUUAUAUGUUAUUGAAUUUUAGGCGAUCUAGUUGAAGAUAAAUGUAUGAUUUAACCAAUUAUUAGGGGAGAACUUCUUGUCAUUUUUUUGGGUUGAACUCAUGAUUCCAUGUGAAAGAGAAGAUGUAUUAACACUUUUUUGUCACAACUGUGAUGCACAUUAGGUGACUAUAGUUUUUCUGCAUGUAUUUCCUGUGCCAGUCAGGUAAUUGGGCUUCCUAAUUGACAGCUAACUACUGUCGUUUAUUGAUCCACAUAGUAGAUCAGUGUGUUAACAUGUUGUCAUCAUCAUUUUAUGAAAUGCGUUAUGAUUUGAUAAGGGUCCAUGUAAUGCUUUAAUAUCUUGCACCGUCUGUGUGAUCAAACACAUAUCUUCAUCCUUAUGUGUCCUUAUCCGUUUGUUGCUAAAAAGAUUUCAUGAGUUUAUGAUCUUUGUGUGACGCAGUCUUCUUAAAUGCAUGGAAAUAACUAUAUUGCUGCUGAACAUGUUACUAUGUUUAAGGAGGACUCCNNNNNNNNNNNNNNNNNNNNNNNNNNNNNNNNNNNNNNNNNNNNNNNNNNNNNNNNNNNNNNNNNNNNNNNNNNNNNNNNNNNNNNNNNNNNNNNNNNNNNNNNNNNNNNNNNNNNNNNNNNNNNNNNNNNNNNNNNNNNNNNNNNNNNNNNNNNNNNNNNNNNNUUAUUAAAGUUGGGACCUGUCAACUUGUCAUUAUCCAAUAAUGAGCGAAGUGACAAAUUAGUGGUCAUUUCUAUAUAAAAGAAAAUUUGGCUAUUAGUAUAUGAAUUGACUAAACACAUUAGACUUGGACUUUAGUCUAAAGGUACUCCCACUAUUUUAUACAAAUUGGUAGCCUCUACCUCUAAUUCGAAAAAUUACUCCUAAUUUUUAGUGGGCACUAGAACCCAAUAGAUCACAUAUAGGCUCGAGUGUGGCUCGGCCAACCCAUAUGCACCUAUUGGUAGGUUCUUAACCAAUUGCUUCACCAAGCAACUUCUAGUGAUGAUUUUGCCCUAGGUUUUCCAGCAGGCGUGUGGCGCCUCCACCGAAUACCCUAGUCAGGUCCAACCAUUAAAUGAUAGGGUUAAGUCUAAUCAACUAAUAGACGACCAAGCCCGAGUGUGGCUCGGCUCACCUGACCGCCUAUUGAAGGUACACUUAACUCAUCAUAUAUUGAAUGACAAUUCCAAUGCUUGAUAAGUACCAGGCAUGUGGNNNNNNNNNNNNNNNNNNNNNNNNNNNNNNNNNNNNNNNNNNNNNNNNNNNNNNNNNNNNNNNNNNNNNNNNNNNNNNNNNNNNNNNNNNNNNNNNNNNNNNNNNNNNNNNNNNNNNNNNNNNNNNNNNNNNNNNNNNNNNNNNNNNNNNNNNNNNNNNNNNNNNNNNNNNNNNNNNNNNNNNNNNNNNNNNNNNNNNNNNNNNNNNNNNNNNNNNNNNNNNNNNNNNNNNNNNNNNNNNNNNNNNNNNNNNNNNNNNNNNNNNNNNNNNNNNNNNNNNNNNNNNNNNNNNNNNNNNNNNNNNNNNNNNNNNNNNNNNNNNNNNNNNNNNNNNNNNNNNNNNNNNNNNNNNNNNNNNNNNNNNNNNNNNNNNNNNNNNNNNNNNNNNNNNNNNNNNNNNNNNNNNNNNNNNNNNNNNNNNNNNNNNNNNNNNNNNNNNNNNNNNNNNNNNNNNNNNNNNNNNNNNNNNNNNNNNNNNNNNNNNNNNNNNNNNNNNNNNNNNNNNNNNNNNNNNNNNNNNNNNNNNNNNNNNNNNNNNNNNNNNNNNNNNNNNNNNNNNNNNNNNNNNNNNNNNNNNNNNNNNNNNNNNNNNNNNNNNNNNNNNNNNNNNNNNNNNNNNNNNNNNNNNNNNNNNNNNNNNNNNNNNNNNNNNNNNNNNNNNNNNNNNNNNNNNNNNNNNNNNNNNNNNNNNNNNNNNNNNNNNNNNNNNNNNNNNNNNNNNNNNNNNNNNNNNNNNNNNNNNNNNNNNNNNNNNNNNNNNNNNNNNNNNNNNNNNNNNNNNNNNNNNNNNNNNNNNNNNNNNNNNNNNNNNNNNNNNNNNNNNNNNNNNNNNNNNNNNNNNNNNNNNNNNNNNNNNNNNNNNNNNNNNNNNNNNNNNNNNNNNNNNNNNNNNNNNNNNNNNNNNNNNNNNNNNNNNNNNNNNNNNNNNNNNNNNNNNNNNNNNNNNNNNNNNNNNNNNNNNNNNNNNNNNNNNNNNNNNNNNNNNNNNNNNNNNNNNNNNNNNNNNNNNNNNNNNNNNNNNNNNNNNNNNNNNNNNNNNNNNNNNNNNNNNNNNNNNNNNNNNNNNNNNNNNNNNNNNNNNNAUCUUGGAUCCCCGUACUAUACCAAACAAGUUACUCAUGGAUACUCGGGGAUUUUUAAUCACUGGAUCAUGGCCUACCAAACAUAUUGAUCUUAAAUCACUGGGGAUCAAAUCACCCCAGCAUUCGAAUCACCGAGGAUCUUAGAUCACCGUGGUGAUCCUGUUGGGGUUACCAAACGCCCCUGUAAAUAUUUGUCAACAAGCCUCAACCCUAGGAAUGUCACUGGAUCGAGAAUAUCCAAAACUUUUGUGGUCUGAUCUGAAGACUUAUCCAAAACAAUGCUAAAUCAGGUCUGUUCUCAUCAUAACUCAUCCUGCUUUUGGAUGUUUUAUGUUUUUAAAUGGCAUAUUAAGGAAAUUAUAUUUGACCAAAGUUGUUUAUAAUGAGUUGAGAUUAACUGAAACACUGUAAACGAAAAAUACAUCAAAUUUUAAGAGUGCAUGUAGCCGAAGGCUCUUGAUACUUCUUUGGCUGCCCCCAUAGAACAUGAUGUUAUCGCAGUUGAGGGGUCCAUAUUGUUCCAAACUCCAAUGCAGUGGCAUGACUUGGUAGUUUGCCUUGAUUGCAUUCAACAUUUUUACUUUCAUUGUGAUAUGCACCAUCAUAGAAAGUGGUUGCUUGGUCUGCCUAGCCUUGGACUGUUACCUAGCCAUCCCUCUUAAAGGGCUGAACCUAUCAGACAACCUUUAUUUGCUGGCCACCUAUUGGGUACCUAGGCAAUCAGCCAAUGCCUGAGGUCAGGUUUGGACUUAUUUUGGGGCAGACGAGGGUAUUAGACCACUGGAUCAUAAACCUAUUUCUUUUGCAGUAGUGCCCAAACACCUUACUUGUUGGCAAGUUCCACUAAUUCUUGAUCUUUGAAUAUAUUAUUUAUUAUUUGGUAGAGUUGUUGCAUUUAAUCGCAUGAGACAUUGAGCACGCUUUAUGAAUGUUUAAUUAAUACAUUGCAUAACUUUCAGGGAAAUUUGUAAUUUUACUAAUUAACAUGUAAUAUUACAUUAAAUAAGGUUCAAGCAAAUGCAAAUUGUUUGCUGAAUAACUUUUUCCUUUAUUUCUUUGUUCCUUUCUACUUUUGGUCUUUUACUUUAACUAUCAUCCACCCAGGCAUCUGUUUUCUAUGAUCAUUAUGUGGUCAUUUGGUUGGGCACAUUCUGCAACUACCUAUUAAAAAGUUGGUAAUAUCAACUCCAUUGUAUACUUGUACUUGCUUCAUGGUUAAGGAGAUCUAGCCCAUUGAAGAUAAUUUUGAUAUGCUUAGUCUAUAAAGAAGUAACCUGCCAUUAACUCCCUUAUUAAAUAAUGCAACAAAGUUUGCUGUUUGUCUUUGCGAAUUACACAAGUAAACUGCUAGAUUGCUUCCCACAACUGAAUGACCCAAGACCAUCUGGGACAACGAAGUGUGGCAAGUUUUCAAGUAAUAAGAGGUUUCUCCCACAUUGAUCUAGAAAGAAGCUUGGUUUUAGAGCUUUAUCAUUUAUAUUAUCUGAAACUAAUUAACAUGAUGUGAUUUGAUCAACCCUAGAGUUUAUGUGCAACAUAUGUCUUCUGGGUACUAGAAUCUCAAUAAACAACUGCUUAUGUGAACAAAGACACAGCAACAUCAACAUUUGCUUGCUGAUUUUAAGUGUGUAUGGGUGUGCACACGGACUUCUGAGCCACAGGGAACAUGAUUCUACCUGUUCUCACAUUAUGAAACCAGAGGCUGUUGCAAUUUUUUGGACUGAGAUUCCAAGUUCUUGUGAUUAAUUAACAAAUGUGAUCUAAUAAUCUAAAUACAGAAAAGUGGAGAACAUGAAAAUCAUGCAUUAAGAAGAAAGUAUGUGGUAGAUAGACUAGAUUGGGUUUUGGUAUCUUGUUUCGCCUUAAGGUCUCAAACACUGGCAUGUAGUUUCAGCCCAUGCUGUUUUAAUUUGUGGCUUAUGACCUCUGAUAAUGGGAACUAUAAGAAAGGAUCUCUAGAUGAAAGAAUUGAGGGAAUGUAAAAGGAAGAGAGUAACAGGAGAUGGAAGAAGAAAGGAAACAAGGUGAGAGAGGAGAUGCACGGUUUGUUCCAUCAGGCUGUGCAUCUCCCCCUUAUCAUAAUGUUAUUGGUUAAGUGGAUAGGAGCCCAAUCCCUUGAGUGUUUGUCGGCAACUCAGGGGUCUGUUACAAUUAAUUAGGUCCAAUUCCUUCUGCUUAAGGCCACUAGUUAUGUAGGUGCCCAAUUCCGUCAAAAGAUGUAGAACUAUCAGCAAUCUUUAGCACAUGUUAUGGUUACUUAAAACACUAGGAUGAUUCUUUUUUAAAGUAAAUAAAGGUGCUGAAACUGGUCUUACUGAUUAGUCAAUGUGCUCAUGACUCAUGAGUUUUCUGGAAGUAUGCUGAGCUUAAUGUCACCAUCAUGUCAUUUUAUCAUGCUUCAAGAGAAAAUGCUGGAACUCUUACUAUUGUUAUCAGUUGAUGUUAGUAAUACUAAGUACUUACAUAUUUUAUGUCCCCAACUUAAUCUGCAGAAAUUAUGGAUUUUGGUUAUCCCCAAAAUCUUUCACCUGAAAUUUUGAAGCUUUACAUCACUCAAGAAGGGGUUCGUUCUUCAUUCUCAUCCAAGGUCAGAUGUCAAACUUCAAUUUAUGUGGUUGAAUUGAUCUCUUAGCGUAUGUAGAUAGUGUGCUUUAUUGAUUUUAUAUGAUUUUGAAGGUAUCAUUUAUUAUAAUUUCCCUGUCUUUCUAUGUUUAUAGCCAUCAGAAAAGCCAGUCCCAAAUGCAACACUACAAGUUACAGGUGCUGUUGGUUGGAGACGUGAGGGUCUUGUAUAUAAGAAGAAUGAGGUGACUCUUAUUUUAUACCUUCCUGCUGUGAGUUCUGUAUAACAAAUACACAUUUUCUCAAGCUAGUAUGGUUCAGGUUUUCUUGGACAUUGUGGAAAGUGUUAAUCUUCUUAUGUCUUCUAAAGGUGACCAGUGAAAAGCAUUAGCUCCUGAUUUAUGUUGUUAUACAGCAAUAUAUUUUUUAUUAAUAAACUUAUCCCUCUUUGGUGAAUUUGCUGGUUAUUUAGGGAGUGUUCUACGUUGUGAUGUGACUGGAAAGAUUCUCAUGAAAUGCUUCCUCUCUGGGAUGCCUGAUCUAAAACUAGGCUUAAAUGACAAAAUUGGGCUUGAAAAAGAAUCACAACUCAAGUCCAGGCCAGCAAAAAGGUAAGCUCAUGAAAGUUGUAGGGCUGUCUGGUUGUCAAAUUUUUACUAAAAUAUUUUUAUACAAAACCUAAACUGAAUGAAUUUUAUAAAAAAAACACUCAUUUGGUUAUUUUCCAUAUAAAUGAUUUUGUAAAUAUUGGCUUGUCAAAAUUAAAAAAAAGAGACUUUUCAGGUCUACCCUUGUUUUUGUACCAUUUUACAAAAAAAUCAGGUUUUAUGAUUAUUGUUUUAAUGGACCUCACAGACAACUAAAUAGCCCUUUCAUGUCCUUCUGAAGAAAAAACUUUAUAUACAUUCUAUGAUUUCCUUGGUUCAAAUUGUUUGUAUCAUAUGGAUUUAUUUGCUCAGAUAAUAGUUCUGGGAAGUUUUUUUUUCUUUUUUAACCAGCUUUCAACUUUUUGUCUGCUAGAUGUUGCCAUGACAGUAUGGGCAUCCACAGUGAAAUUCUGAGCAGAUGCUACUAAAGGGAGUGUUUUGUAUUUCUGUAUGGGGUUUGGAAAGAGUAGUUUUAAAUACCUAAAUUUAUGCCAAUGAGCAGUGAUACAGUGCUUAAGAAGGUUUAGUAAGUAUGGUCUCAAAUAUUUAGGAUUCUUUCCACACAAAUUUUUCUCUCCACCCCGGAGUCUAAUGUUCAUAUAGUAAAUUUAUUUGUUUGUCAGGCCAAGUCAUAAAAUGAUUUGUGGAACUAAAAGGCUGUCCGUUUUAUGAAAUUUCUAAUAUGAAAUAUGCUCUUGCCUUAGCAAUUUGCAUUGUUCUUGUAGUCUUUCAAUAAUCUACAAAAAGUUUCUCCUACAUUGAAUCAUAAGUGAAUCUCAAAUAUGACUUAUUUUUAGUUUAUUGAAAUUGUUGUUGAAGUAUUUGCCACAUGGACCCUUCUAGCAUCAUUGAUAACUUUUGGCAUCUUUUUUUUUCCUCCUUACUCAGUGGAAAGACCAUCGAACUUGAUGAUGUUACUUUUCAUCAGUGUGUAAACCUGACGAGGUUCAACUCAGAAAAGACAGUCAGCUUCGUGCCUCCUGAUGGUGAAUUUGAAUUGAUGAAGUAAUCGUACUACAUUUUCCUUAUGCCACAUUUCUUCUAAGUCAUGAAAUAUAUUGCCAUUUUCUGUUUCUUGCUAUGAAGCCUGUCAAAGCCAUUUGCUUUUUGCCAUAUUUGUGCAUAUGCCUUGUGUUGUUUUUUAAUAUCUGUGAUGUUGCUUUCCUUUGUGGUCAAAGUUAGUUAUUCUGUUUCAUAUUCAAACUAUUUAAACACUUAUUUCAGGAUAUUGAUUUUGGAUUUAAUUAAAGAAAAAAUGCCUAGAAUUCCUGACACAUAACAAAAAAUGUUUAUAGAAUUGUACUGGCAUUUGUUCAAGAAGAGUUUUAUGUGGGGUUUGCUUGCCUGAAGGAAACUAUCUAUCUUGGUUGGCAGAGCCGCUUAUGACAGUAAUAUAGUUUGUUUUAUCAAAUCAAAAGCUAAAUUAAGCACCUUUUGCCUAAACUUGAUUUUAUAGAAUUGCUGCACACCGAUCUUAGUUUGACCCUGUUCUUACCUCAUACUCCAACUUCUUUGGCUUAGUCAACAUGUCACAUAUAACUACCUUGAAUUCAUACUUCUAUAUUUUUAAAAAUUCAAUUCACUUUAUUCACUCGUUAUUUUGUUUAAAUACAACUUCUAGCGUUAUUGUGUCUCAUAUGUAGAAAUGCCUUUUCCCCUAUGUCUAAACUAAACAACAUAUGGUACACUAGAAGGGAUUAUAUGCCUUGUCUUUAUCUUAAUCAGAUUCCUCAUUCACGACUUCGCAUUUUCAUGCAUUUAUAUAACCUAACAAUGUUAAAGAAGUGCCAUAGCCAAAAUACAUGAAGAAUGAUUGCUUCCUCUUUCUUGUUCCAAUGAUAAUAUUCUGUAUUCUUAGGUACCGUAUUACUGAGGGUGUAAAUCUUCCAUUCCGAGUGUUGCCAACAAUCAAAGAAUUGGGGAGGACACGCAUGGAAGUUAAUGUCAAGGUUUGUCAUCAAUGUUAUGAUAGAUGCAUAUUUCUUAUGCUCAUAUUUACCUCGUUUCCUUUAUUCUGCAGGUGAAGAGUGUCUUUGGUGCAAAAAUGUUUGCACUUGGAGUUGUGGUUAAGGUUCCAGUACCAAAGCAAACUGCCAAGGCAAGCUUCCAAGUGACAUCAGGUCGAGCCAAAUAUAAUGCUUCAAUUGAUUGCUUGGUUUGGAAGUAAGUGCUCAACAUUUUGUCACACGGUAUAAUUUUUGAAUGUUAAUGCCUCAAUUUCUCCAAUUAGUUAGUCAAAAUGCCGAGCUUAUUUCUGUCCUCGUGAUCCGCCUUACAUUUUAUGUGUGCGCCACGACUAUUUGUGUACCUUUGCAAAAAGAAACAUUUGAUCUGAAGUUCAAGUUAAUCAGCAUUACUUGCAACCUUGGUGGUGUAUUGAACUUAAAUUAUGGAGUUUGUGGGUUGUUUUCUUGCUUAAUCAAGGAAAUGCUAUUUAGUCGCACUGCAAGCUUCGCAUUGUGGCAAAACAAUUAGGAGUUCAUCCAUGAAGUGAUUUCAUGAGAACUUUGGAGGGGAAGACCUCCUCUUCUUUUUUGAUAGUGAGGCCCUAUUUAUUGAGGAAAUUAGCAUCAUUUUUCAGUUCCCGUUGAAUUUAAAAAUUUUAUAUCCACAAUGUUGAUUGGAGCAUUGUUUGUAUGAUGUGAUCAGAACUGAAGAUGGCCAUUAGAGUUUUAAGCUUUUUGCUUGUUAAGUUUCCUUUAAGGUAUUCUUUUGCUUUUCUUAAUUAUGAAUACAAGGUGUUAAAGUCUUCCUAGGAGCAGUGCAUUUAGCUGAUUCAGUUUUUGGAUAUAACCAAAUAGUGGCUUUUCUUGAUGUAGAGCAGAAUCUGAGCUGUCUUCUUUGAGAAUCUAAUGAUGAAUGCUGUUAGAUGCUUCUGUAGGGGUGUUAUCGGCAGGGACCCUUUAUUUUAAACUUGUUUACCACUAAACAUUUAAAUUACUUAUCCCCACUUUACCCUCGUAAGUUCUUUAGGACAUGUUGAAAUUCAUGUUUGGUGUUGGCUUUUUUCAAAGUUGAUAUAUUAAAGAGAAUGAAGUUAUUAAGUGCUAUUUGAGCUAUAACAGUAGACUUUAGUAGGCACUAUCUAGAGAAACAUUGUGUUGAUUUGAAUUUGUUAAUUGCUUUACACUUUAAAUAUUCAACAUGCAGGAUAAGAAAAUUUCCAGGGCAAACUGAAACAACUAUGAGUGCAGAAGUUGAGUUGAUUUCUACAAUGGCAGAAAAGAAGCCAUGGACUCGACCUCCAAUUCAAAUGGAAUUUCAGGUUUGACUAAAAUCUUGACUGCAAGUUCUUUUGAUAAAAAUGCAAAUUGCUUUGCAUGCUUUACUCGAGGAAACACUUUUCCUGUUCUUGUUUCCUGAGUUAAAUAGAUCAUACACACAUCACAAUAGAUUAAAAUCAAUAGCUUGUUUUCACACUGUUUCCCGUACUGUAUCAUAAGCGGGGCAUGUUCAAUUCAACAAACGGACCUUCAGUUUUCAUAUUCCAUUGCAAGUUAGGUAGUACUGUGGCAUGAAACUGUAGAUUUUUUCCACUAAAAAAAGGAAAUGUAAAAUUUUCUAGAUCACCCCAUGGUGGAGCUUCACGAAACAAAUCCAGGUUUCCUGUUGGAAUUUUCACCAUUAUAAUUAUAAAAACAGUGUUAAUUAUUCGUAAAAGGGAGUUUUAACUUGAACUGGUAUGGCCAUUUAGAGAGAGUUCCUGCUUUGAAGCCUGAAUCAGGCAUGGAAAGUCUAUAUAUAAGAUGCGUCUAUAUAUUUAGGAACUUUUUUUGUGGAGUUGCCUUAGCUGUUAGAUAUUUCUUUUCUUGAAACUUUUUCUUUUUUGCCAUUUUCUUGUUUUCUUUUUUUCUCAUUCUUUGGCCAAUCACCAUAACCAAGUGAACUGUACAUGCUCUGUGCAAAAAUGAGACCGUUGUAUGGAGUUGCAAUAUAAAUUCAUAACUCUUGCUCUGCCCAAGUGGAACUAUUUAGUCUGCUAUUAGUUUCUGGAAUCACUGAGUGUUGCCUUAUACUAUUCCGCCAUCAUGAGUCAGCAACAUAUUGCAACAUUUUCGUAUGCUGAUACCAACAUAAUAGGUUGCUUAAUGUACAAAAUAAUUCUGUUUUAUUUGCCUGGAGUAACUUUGGGGCCUAGUUUCACUUGUGUUUUUUUAUCUGUCAGGAGUCUCUGCAUGCUUUCUUGGCACAUUUUAAAACUAAUGUUUGAAAUCUUUUUGGUUCUGUAGGUUCCUAUGUUCACUGCAUCAGGAUUACGAGUCCGAUUUCUCAAGGUUUGUUUGGAACUAAUGCAGCUUCAGGUGCCUUCUGUGGCUUUAGGACCUGACUAAAAUUAAGUCCUCAUUUCUCCAAAAUCUCUGCAGGUUUGGGAGAAGAGUGGAUACAACACCGUAGAGUGGGUUCGUUAUAUCACAAAAGCCGGGUCAUAUGAGAUAAGAUGUUAGAAUCUGUGACUGCCUUCAUGCACAUCGACGGAACUGUUUAGGCGGCUCCCCAGCUCUCCAACUGAACAAUGUUGAUAUCAGGAUACUUUAUUACUUCAUGAUCAUGCAUUCCUGUGCCUGCAAAACAGCCUUUAGAUGAGGAGCCGCCCCUUGUGCUCCUUUGCUUCGCCCCCAUUUUUUUUCUCUCUUUAUAGCAAACAGUCUGUAUGUGCCGUUGUCUGAUUCCUUGUGGUGCAAGAUCAGUAUAAUGUUUUGUAAAUGCUGGAUGGCAGGUUGUAUAUUUUGGCUUUUGCUUAUGAGGUUUUACUUCAAGUGAUGUACAGAUUAUUGAAUUGAACACGGCAAAGCUGGCUAUUAUUUUCUAUAGUCCUAACUUAAACAAACUAUAACUACCUAAUUUCCAAUGCCACGCCAAACUAGUCUUGUAUUAGUGGUCUAACUGGUCUAACUGGGAUAUAGAUGAUAAAAUAUCAUGAUUGUCGACAACAAUGGGAGGUAUCCUUGGUCUAACUGGUCCCCUAACAUAGUUUCAUAGCCCUGAACAAGCCAAAGAAACCUUAAUUUUUAUCUGCUUAUGCGUAAAUCCAUGACCCAUCGCAUUACCAUCACGCCCCACCCCUUCCCCAUUUAGCCCCAGGCACCACUGUGGAUCUCAUGGCUUUAACCUUUGAUGAUUCCUUGAAUCCAUCCAACCUAACUAAGUUUAUCAAAUAUGCUGCCAAUCAACCCGACUCCUCCAGCUCAAUUGAAUAAUCUGAUCUGCCCAAUUUAAUCAGUUGAUUUUUAACAAAAUUCAAAUUUCAGCUAUUAAAUCAAGUUCUCUUGGAUAACUCGCAGCAUUCGCCAUUUGUAAGCAGUAAUUUCUUGAAUUUAUAAAUUACUAUUAUAAAAUUUAGUGAAAGAGCAUGGCGAAUUUCAAAUCCUCGCAUCUCUCUUACAUGUUUGGUCAUUCCAACCAACUUAACAACAUGCAUAAAAAACCCUGAUCAUAUUGUCAGAUCAACAAAAGAUUUCAAGACAAGUUCCUUUUACCGUAUUCACUCUGCAGCGACUCUUUGUUAUCGAUAAAACUUCUAAUCAUCAUUUCGUUGGAAAAUUAACAUGCUUUCUCUUUAUUCCAAGGAACAUCUUAGGAUGUCAUGUUCUCCUCCUCCAUGUUCGAAUUGCAAUGACAUGCACGGGGCUCUCUUUUGAUCCUCUUCAUAAAAUGUAAGUUCACUACGUUGUUGCAGAGAUGAACGCCAUCUGAUAUUGUAAUGGCCUGGUGCUUUAUAUCUUGUAGGGCAUCUAGGAAUCACUUUUUAUUUAGAGAGAUGUGGAUAAGGACUGUUGGAUAACCAUCAACAAGUUCUGAACUUCAAUAUCUUAAAUACCUGCUAAGAAACCAAUGCUCUCAUUUCUCCUCUGCCCUAUCUGCAGGGGUGAGAAGGAUUUAUGACAGUGCUUGGCACGACCAUAGAUGCAUAUGCUCCUCGUUUUGUACAGUGCUAUGUUUGGAUGAUCACUUCACUCAAGUUUUUUGUGCUUCAAGAGUAGCAUUCGUUGAGGAUCAUAAUGCUUAGGGUCAAUAUUAAGACGGCAACUUUCAUCCUAGUGGACCGAACAGGCAUACAAAAGGUGUAGGAUUUUAGAUGGUUAUAUGGUUGUUGAACUGGUGAGGGAAGGACUCCUACUCACACUUCAAGACAGCAAGCUCCAUCGCUUUAACUCGUUGAUUACAAAUGAGAGGGUAGGCUUCACCACCGACUAUUUUAACCAACUCACUAUGAGUAUAUUCAACGGGUUUAGUGGAAGAAACUAGUGUAAGAAGUCUAUUGAUUAUUUCUCACAAGUCUAUGGAGGAGGUCUUGUUUACUGGUUAAGGGUUCCCACAUUGAGUUGAGAUCCUCUAUGGUGCAUGUUUUGCACUGUAGAGAGCUGUACAACCUUGAAUAGCCAUCAUGUCAUCUAUCUUGGAGAUGGAUAGCUCUCCUUCAUCUCUGCAAUGCAUCAUGUCUUGUAUUGAACGAAAGCUGCUCGUUUUUUUAAGAUGGCUGACGUGGUAGCUAUCCAAUGUUGUAAAGCCCUUAAUUUGCAGUGCGGAGUAUCUGAACUAACAUUUAUACUAGAAUCUAUCAAAAUCUUUGGACCAUUCACAUGCAUGUGUUAGGCAUGAGAAAAUCAUUUCUAUUGUGGUUCAUUUUUAUCUAAAAUUGUGCAAUUUUUAUUUCUGCCUAGUUCCAAUAUGGUUUGAUCCUUUUGAUGCUGGAAUUGGAAUGGAGGAAAGAAUAUAUAUCAGCAUAAGCGGUAUGUGUUAAAGCCAUCACAAACCACAUUUCUACUUCAAAACAACUACCUUGUAUCUUGUGCUUGAAGUAAUAGGUAAUCUUUCGUUCCUCCUAGGCUCAAAAAAUGCGUACAUUUUCUAGAGAAACAUGAAAUGUGCAUAUUUUUAAAUAAUGAGGAAGAACUCUUUCUUAAUUUUUUGGAGAAAGGGGCAGAGUAAUUUGAGUUGGACCUUGCUAUCACACUGCUUGGAUUGGCAAAUUUAAUUCAGUAGUAUAGGAAUAAUUACUUCUUUGUAAAAAUGAAAUGCAUUAAACCUUUGUAAAUUUAUAUACCUUAUCAUUGCAUGAAACACGCAUCUCUGCUAAGUUGAUGGAAAUAUGGUCUCAAUCCAAUUUCCAUGCAGGAACGGAAUCAAAUGAUUUAGUUUCACUUGCUAAUUGAUAGCACAGGACAACAUAAUUAGGAAAAAAACACUCUUUCGUUUGGGUGUAGUUUUUAUGCGAAAGAAUGAUUGAUCCUUUUUUUGCAACAUUGACCAUUGCAUUGCGCCCUGCAUAGAUCUCAAAGUACUCUGAACUCCUUCAUUCAUCUAUAUGUACAUAUCUCAAAGUGACUACUGCGUGAUCCAAUAGUAGAUUUGCACAAAGGAAGGUUAAUCCUUCUUUUGUGCAAAAGACGCAACCCCCAUCUUUCACAUGCAUGCCUCUUGUGGUGUGAAAAAGACAUUGUUCUCCCAAACAUAGAGAACCACCCAUAGAGGGUGGUACUACAUGAGUACAAAUUACUAAAGGAGCACGGGUCCUCUGCAGUGCACGCAUGGCACCAUAGAGUGUCGUGCAGUCGUGGGUGGCCGCUAUUAAAAGAUGGAUGACCAUGAAACAAGGCAGUCCACAAGUAUGUACCAUGCAUGUGUUGUUUGAUGGCUGCCAUUCAAGAUUGCACAGUACUUUAUGAUGCAUGGCCCGCACCAUAGAAGAUCUUGGUUGUAUUAAAAAGUUGUGAACCAUACUCUACAAAUCCCACCAACCAUGUCGCCAAAUAUGCUUAAAGCAAGCUUUAUCUUCUUUUGUUUCGAUUGCACUCAACUCUUUUUUUUUUUGAUGAAAAUUGCACUCAACUCUUUAGUCAUGUCUGUACGAUUCCAUUCUAAAGCUUUGUUUUCUUUUUCUUUUUUCGGGUUAGCUGCAGUAGGAAUAUUGCUACCUUGUAAGAAGCAAAAAAAUACAAUGAAGCUACUGUUGCUAUUUCAUAACUCAAUAUACAUAAUUAGCAAAAUGCUGAAAUCUCCCAAUAAUAAUCCAAGGUAAGUUCCCAUGAAGAGCGCUCCAACAAGAAAGCUAUAUACCUUUACUUUAUGAUUGGUUUGUAAGUUGAAGUAAAACCUUAUAUACAAUUUAUACAUUUUCUCCUUCAUUAAGCAGGGAUGGCUGUCAAGUUUUAUCCAAGUUCAUUAGAGGUACAAAAGAAUGCAAUGGGCUAUGGACUUACUCUUGCAACUUCAAAAAUGACUUAGACCAGACCCCUUACCCAAUCUACAUGCAAUUAUGUAAUGAAAGGCUUGUAGAUGGACGCCUAGAUGGUGAGGAAUCUAUAUAUGGAUCAUCAGGUCAUAUGAUGGAUAUCUGAGGCAAAAAAAAUGCAAAGUCAAAAUGAAGGCCACUUUGUUUUCAAAACCAGAUUUUAAAACUUAUGGGAAAAAGCAGGAGAUAUUGAUAUCUAAGCCUCUAGACUAAGAUGACGAGGAACCACAUCAAGGAGAGUAGAAGAAAGACGCAGUCUUUGUAAAUUAUUGUAUAGGAACUUUGAUAUAUGUAACAUUUGUCAAGAAUCCGAAGGUAAUACAGAAAUUAAUUUAUUUAGCCAAAUGGCAUGAGAUCAAAACCUUUAAGAAGUUUCCCAAAGUUUCUUCAAUUCAAAUUGUUCCUUAGUUUGCAAAUAAUCUUGACAAAUAAUUAGAGAAAUCGUCUUGAAAGAGGCUCAAGCAUGAAAUCUGAAGGCUAAUCACUACCUCAGUUCUAAGGCAUUCUAAAAUUACAGCAAACAAAAUGAAACCUCCCAAACUCUCCUAGACCUGAAAAGAAUCUUACAAAAAAAGAAGCAAACGAAAAGAUUUGAGCGUACAUGUACAUGUAAUCCUCAAGAGUUGAUUAAAAAUGUACCGUUUCCAGCUGGACAAUAUUGCGGCAUAUGAACAUGGGUGUGCUACCCUUUUCCUAGUUGGGGUUCAUUUUUGUCAUGCACUCAAGGUAGAGAAGAAACAGUGAUGUUGUUAGAUCACAAGUUAUCUGAUGCAAUUUAGAACUAAUCUGAUCCAAAAGCCUAACAAAGGGAAAUGCCAAAAUGAAUUGUGUAACGGGACAAAGCAUAUUACUGUGUAUGUGUUCCUAUGAACUUUUAGUAGUCAAUGUAAAAACAAAGAGAGCAUGUUAAAAAUACACAAACUUAUUACUCCAAGUAAGCAUGACGCUUUAGUUAGAAUGAGAAUUAUUAAAUGGUUGGCAGAAGAAACCUGAUUAGAAAUAAUCUAGCAAAGUGACUAUCAGAAUUAAAUCUUCCUCUGAAUGAAGCAAAUUUGAAGAUGUCGUCUGUUCUUGUGUUCAUAUUUCUCUACUUCUCAUGUUAGAAAGAAAACAUUUGCCCAUACUAUAGAUGGAAGAAGAGAGUGAACAAGCACAAACAUUAGCAUAGGCUUAACUCACUUCUAAUAUCAACUUCAAUCCACAGGAGAAAACAAUCUCAGGAAUUCUCAUAUGGUUCAAGCAUAAGGUUAAAUGUCAUGAGUUCCAUAUUCUAAUCUUUUGGUUUUUGGCCAGGAAAGACAAAUAGAAAUAAAGAAAAAAAUAUUCUUAAUUAAAAAGAAAUUAAAGGAACCACUUCAUGUUAAAGAGUUUCUGUAUAUAGGCUUUUAAGUGCAGACUUAAUUUGGUGUCUAUAUAAAUUUACUUACCUUGUGUAUCUUGAUUGCGAUGCGAAGAGAUAUGUGAUUAGCCCAGUAGGAAUGGCAAUCAUGCAUUUUCCCUCCUUCAGCUAUUUUUAUUUUAGGUAUUCAUCAAAAGUUGUACAGAUCAACAUGGUGGAGUCAAUAACGGUCAUGAAGAGUUGUUAAUUAUGCAUAAUAUCAAGCAGACAAUCAUUGAAAUGCAAAUUGUUCUAAGAAGGUGGUGUGUGUAAACUUGGGGUUAGAGGACUAAGAGAAAUCAAGAACUAAGUGAUGCACCCAAAAGAUAACAUGAUCAUGCGACAAAAGCACUGUAGCAGAAGGACUCUCUAGCAAACCAUGAAUUGGUAGAUCUUAAUGCUUUUUCUCAAGAUCAAUCAAGGUGAUAAUAGGACCAAGCACCCAAAAAGCCUUGUAACCUUUUACCUCUACCUCAUAUAGCCAGAUUUUAUGAUUUUACCAAACUCAAACGCCAAACAAAUACACUGCCAAACCAGAUUUUACAAGAACGAAGGACAUAAAACAAGAACACUACUCCCUACACGACCUUGCACUGUGUUUUUAGCUGUGGCCACAUGAUGGAUUAAUGGAGCCACCAGGAACUCUAAGGAGCAGCAUAUCAUUAAGGGAAGAGAAUAUCAAAUAGGUUUAUGUGCAAUAUAUUAUACUUGACCCUUCAGUCCUAACAAUAUUAAGUGUUUGAGUGAUAACAAAAUUAACAAAAUCACUUGCAAAAAUAAAUAAUGCACCCCAAAAAUUAUCAAAAAGUGGUGAAAGUGCUGUCUAAGAUUUUUUGAUCUCCUAAAGGAAAAAGAAACAAAGAGACAUGAGGAAACCUUGGCUUUGGAAUGACCGAUAUGAGUCAAAAGGACAAAACAUUAUCAUUGAUAUAAGAGCCAAGAUUUGCUUCUUUUGGUAUCAUUGCCAUUCAAUUCAACUCAAAAGAAUCCAAGUGUUUCAUGUUCCAAAGAUUUUAGAUUUUAGAAGAGCAAAUAUAGAUCGAGGGAGAAGAUUAAUUUCCAAGGUGUUGGCUUGGAGAGGCCAAAAGCAAGAAGGACUUAUAACGAAGAUAUGCACACGUGCAUUCAGUUAAUAACUCACUUCCCAUGUCCUCCUCCUGUCUCGCACAUCCCCCUUCUCACUAAUCUCUAAACCAUCCUUAAUAUAUAAUAAACCCCAAUCUUCCGUAUAUCUUAAUCUUUGCUAUAUAUAUAUAUAUUGUUUUCUUCAUCGCAAAAGUAGAAGCCGCACCGAUUAUCAAAAAAAUAUAAAUAUAGAAUGUGAUAAUAGAAAUAAUAUAAGAAAGCACCAGUCAUUUAGCAGGUUGCUUUUAUCCUUGUAAGAAUUUGGAUACAAAAUCAUGUAAUAAUAUCCAAAACAACUCUCAGAAAUAAAUAAAAAAAAACCAGCUUCUUCGUGUAUCAUAUGCUUAAUUUGUUAUAUUAUUCUUUCUUUCACAGAGAAGCCUAAAAUAUCAGCAAAAAAAAAUUGCACACUAAUUUCAGAAAGAUAUCUAUACGUAGAAGGUCAGAGAGUACUACAAGUAGAGAUAGAGUUAAAUCCAAGUGCUAGGGCAUGUAGUAGUCUCAACCCAUUGUUUUAUGCAAAAAGACUUUGGUUUCCAUAUUGGACAGCAAACAAGAAGAUUAUCAGAAGGAAAUGAACAAGAGAACUCAAAUGAUCAAAAGAUCAAAACGAGAGAGAGAGAGAGAGAUCGUUCAUCGACAUCCUCAUAAAUUAAUGUCUAACCUUUGCCUCUGCCAUGAAUUUGCUCCGCCAUCUUCUCAUGAUUAUCUCAGUCGAUGGAUCGACGGUUAAAUACGACCAAGUUUCACCUGUGAUCAGUAGGGUGGCCGGCCUGCAGCACUCCCAGGCCACCCGGCGUGUCCGUCCAUUGGCAACUGUGGCAUGUUGAGCGGCAGAUUAAAGAACGGCAAGCUCGAAGGGUCCGGGAACGGAUUCCCACCUCCACCACCACCGCCACCGUUAGUCCCGCCACCACCUCCGCCGCCACUUCCCGGGCCCUGCGAAACAGGUGGCUGCAUCUGGAGCGGUGGCGGCUCCUCAUCUUCAAGAGGAAGCCGCUCGUACGCGACGUUGGUGAACGACGCGGCGAUCACGAUGACCGGGCCGGCAGCGAUGAGCGCGCCCACUACGCUCCCUCCUACGACCUGCCCCUGCCCGCCAGCUAGGAAGAUGGUGAGGCUGGUGGCCCCCGGCGGGGCUGGGGGCGGGAGGAAGGAGCCGGAGAGGGAGAGGAUCUCGAAGCGGCCAUGGAGGGUGACGACGGAGCCCGCGGAAGCCGGCUGGCGGAGGCUGACGUUGGUGACGGAGCCGCUGCCGCUGAGGAUGCAGACGCCGCGCUGGCGGCGGCGCGCGUACGUCGCGACGCAGUCGAAGACGUCGCAGCCGCUGCCAACCUCGAGGAUGUGGGCCUGAAGGGUGUUGGCACUCUCCCGGGUGAUGAUAACGGGGGGCUUUGGCUUGUUCUUCGACCCCGGGGGUCGGCCGCGGGGGCGCCGGGCGACGACAUCGCCCGGCCCCGCGGCCGAGGACCCGCCGGGGGGAUCCAUCAACUCCAGCCCUGCGGAGGCGGCGGCGGCGGCAGCGGAGGACUCAUCCCCGACGCCUGCGGAGUCAUCAGCGUCAGAGCGCUGGAGGUGGAGGUCGGGGCGGCGGUGGAGGAGUGGGUGGACGAACCGGGAGGCUGUGCCGAGAUCUAGGCCCGCCAUGCCAGCAUCCAAAGAAAUAGAGUAAUUUCUGGUAAGAGGGAGAAAAAAAAAGUUGAGUUGGAUUUUUUUGAAAUAAAAAAAGGACAAAAAGAGUGGGAAAUCAAUUUAAAAAGGGAUUUUUUUUAUAUUUUUGGGAGGAAUAAAGAACUAAAAAAAGAGGGAUGAGGAGUGGAACUCUACAGGUAAGGCAGAAAUAUAGAAAAAAGUUUGGGGGAUGAGUGCAGAGAAAGGAGGGCUUAAGCGAGCUUCAGUCUUUGGAGAAAUGGAGACGAUAGUGGGUGCUGCCUAGAAGUUGAUGAAACAAAUAAAAUAUUAGAAAGAGAGAGAGAGAGAUUACUAAAAUGAUUAUUCUAUUUAAAACUAGGGUUAGAGAGGGGUUAAGGUUUGGAACUUAGGGUUAAGUAGGAGCAAGUGGGAGGGAGGUUGCUACUGUGGGCGGGACCCACUUCUUAGUUCUUACUCAUUUAUCCUGUUCACACUUGAUUCAACUUGGGUUAAUGGCUAGUCUUAAUUAGUUUCAAGUUGGUGAUAAAGAGGUUGGGUGCACCUGAGGUGGUAGCCUAGUGGGAGCGUGAUCUUACUUCCAACCAAGUGGUUUCGAAUUCGAAACGCACGGACGUCGAUUAAAUUGUGGAAACCAGAUGCUCUCUGCUUGGACACGGGGUCUGUAAGAACAUAUCGCUAUGCUGGUAGCCUCGGAGGUGUCAGGUGUGACGCAUUCACACGUGGUAUUCAUGUCGGAGCCUAGAGGAGUAAUGGAGUCGGGCCCACCAGUGGAAAGGAUAUGAGUAAAACCAGCAGGAAUGCUCAACAUACGGUCAUUUUUAUCCAUAUCGAACAUUCUUCUGGCAGGAUGGGACCUAGUGAGGGCUUCUACGCGAGGGUGGGUUGUCCCUUCCUCCCCCCUUCCUCUUUCUUUCAGCAAAAACAAAAAAAAGAGGGUGGGUGCGCGCGCGCGGGGCUGGGUUUUAUGGGCAAAGGUUGGUGGCGCGGAAGACAAUGCACAAGGUUAUUGGUCCACCGUAGUUGUUUGGAUUAGGGUGUUGACAGGAAAAAAAGAUGGAUUGAGGUGAUUGGGAUGUUUUAGCUUUAUUUGGCAUGUUUGAGGUUGGGAGAAACAUCGCUCUUCUUGUACAUCAGUUUUGGAUUUGGACCCGUAGUGCUUUUAUAACCACAGCUCAUGGAUCAAAGACAAGAAUGUUAAACUUUGUGCUUAUCUUUCACAGUGGUCCUUUGGGGCAUUGCAAAGUGAUCAAGAGCUAUGGACUAAUCUCAAGAGUCUAAAUUUUGACGAACCAUUCUUACACUGAAAAUAACCUUUGCAUUAUGCGCUGCAGCCAAUAUUGACUAUAUAUAUAUAUCUUCACUGUGCAUGCAUCAUAUAGUUUCGUUUUACAUACAUUGUUCAAUAUAUAAUAGUGAUGACAAAAGACUAGUAAACCAUGGACUAGGAGGAUUCCUGCACCCUCUAAAUUGAGUUGUAGGGUUUAUUUGAUGCUUGUCUGACCAAAAGCUCACAUAACCAUUUUAGGUCAUUGUUUAUCGUUGCAGGAGUGGAAGGUAGACUUUCAUCACCCUAAUGUUCAACAUUUAGGUUCUAUUCUUUCUCCACAAGCUAACCAACUAUGACAUGGAUUAAAAUUUCAUUCAAGGUCUAUGAGUCAGUCCGACCGAACCAAUCACUUGUUCAAAUUUGCUAUUGCAUCAUCAUAAAAAAUCAACAAGACGAGGAAUCUUACAAGAGAGUCAGAGAAAAAAACCUCCCGCAAAUUAAUAUAAGACCUUGAAAAUAAAUUGUCGGCCUACUCUCAUCAAAGGCAACUGUGGGCUAGCAAUAUGCAUACCAUACAUGACCUAGAAGGAUUGUUGGUGAGUAAAUAAACGAAAAGCCUAUGAUUAAAAUUCUCGAACUAUCCAGCCGUGUGGAGUAAAACACCGCAUUUUCUUAACUAAAGUGAUUGGUGUUUUAUGGUACAAGGAUGGUGAUUAUGAUGCUACAAUAAUGCACAAUUAUAAAUAUGAAGGCGAUAACUAUAGCUCGCCAAUAUCUAAAUCAAAAGAAAGGAGAAGAGAGAUUAUAUUUAGUUUUGAAGUUUUUUUUUUUUGCUGAAGCGGAUGUAUCAUACAUGUCGGAUAUGAAUAUAUCCAAAAAAAUUAAAAGAUAAUAAGUUCCGAAGUGCACUAAAUAAUCUUCUCUUCCGUAGCCAUAGGGUGUUUUGAAGACUUUCACACGGGGCCUCGUCCUGAGCCCGGUUGAGCCAGAGUCAGGCUCGAGGUAAAUUAUAUGGGGUGAACGGCACGCGACGAUCACGUGCGAUGGCCAAGUCAAAGGCACAUGAGACUAGCCGUCGCUUUCAUCAGGAAUGGGGUCUCAGAGGUGCCCGCGAAACCCGGACGGCUCUGAAACUUUGCUUGGGGUUUGUGUUAAAAGGGCAUUGGCCCUCUCAAUACAACCCAAACCCACAUUAAAAAACUAUAAUAAUAAAAUAACAUAAUCUUAAAAAAAUGCUAUGUGUAUAUGCGUGCUUAUAAAAAUUCUUAGUGGAUUCCAAAUUUAUGAGUAAAUCCACCACCUUGUCUUCCUUGCCAUAGGCCAAUCAAAUGCUUCAGGAAUACCUUGGUUGGAUGGAGUAAGUUACAACUAUUGCUUGAAUGAAAUCAAGAAAUUAAAACUUGAAGGUUGAUAUAAUGAUAUUUCGGUAUAUUUUGUUGAUGGUCCUGUGCAACAUAUUUAGUGAGAUGAGUGGGCCGAGAUUUUAGAUAGAAAGCUCUAGAGGAUUCACUACAUGGUUGGAUAUGAUUUUGUUACAAAUUAAUUUUAUUAAAAUGAAAGAUAAAAUAUAAAAUCUAAAGUCCAUUUGUGCUUUUUUUUGGUAUACAGUAGGAGUCAUAGACUAAAACAAAAGAAUUUUUUGUAGUUUAAUUAUUGUGCAAGAAUUGACAUGCUUAGCUAAUUUGAAGAAGUUCAAAUCUAUUGAUUGAAUUAUGUUCUUUUGAAUCUAAUCAAUAUAAAUUUAUGUGCUAUAAUUGAUGUCGAAUACUGGUACCUAGUCCUAACCUUUUCUUGAUUCCAAAGAACUUUAGAUGCCUAAAAGCAUUCUAUUUGUGACUUGAAGUGUUCUAUUGGAUGAUUUUAGACCAAAUCUUGGUCAAAAUUAUAGAUUAAUGGUGGUCGAGCCAUGACUCUCAUGAUCAUAUGCAGAUUCCAUAUUGCAGUCUAAUUUGUAAAUUAUAUGACAAUCAAUUCAUCAUUCAUGUAUGCCAAUGUCUAAAAAAUUUAACAUCCAAGUUUUUGAGAACUAAAGUUGAAGCGGAGCCUAAUCAAUUAAUAGAGUAGGAAAGAAAUCGAAUCCAUGUAUUUUAUACCAAUACAAGAAACUUUGUCAUUUUUUUAGAAAAUAAAUUCAUUUAACUUUUAGAGAGAGGGGGAGAGAGAAAGAUUUGAUCAACUCUACUUGUUGGCAGCCUCGAAAUUUAACUCAAAAAUUAGGGUUGGGUACAACAAAGAGGCCAAAAUUUAAAUUUGUAGCUUAUAGGGUACUAACUAUUGAAAUAACAAAAAUUGUUUGUGUCACUACCGGUUUUUCGACUCGAAAAAUUAUUAAAUGGAUCAGGUCCACUAGACCAGUCCAAAUCACGUACCCCAGGAUUUGGACUGGUCCACUAAAUCUAAUCCAUCUAAUAGUUUAUCCUUCGACUCCAUUCCCAAACAUCACCUUUGGCUAGUCUCUUCUUGCUCUCUCCAAUCUAAUUUAUCCUCCACUCUUCGCACCAAUUAACUAUCGCUCCUAGAACAUCAACCCCACGCACCCAUCAACUGUCACCCUCACCGCGGUCAGCUCCUCCGCGAUACGUCCACGAACAUUGUUCCCUCUAACAUCUGGAGUUAUCCUUCCUUGAACGCAAGUAUAAUUACGGCUCUUGGCGGUGAGCUUGAGCACCCUUCUAUUAUCAAGUUUUGCUCCCUUAUCCAUUUCCAAUGCACAUAGCCUAUGUGUACAAAUAAUAUUAGCUUUCCUUAUACGUCUGCUAAAUAAUUAAUCUAAAAAGAGCCAUCAAUAAAAAAAAGAAAAGAAAAAGAAAAUUAAGAAGGGGUACUUUGGUAGUUUGAUUUGGAUAAGUUUGAUUUAGAUGAGUUCGGUUUGCUACUCAUCCUAGGGUUCCCUUGCUUUAAAGUCUUCAACUAUUCCUUAAAGCUUCUCUAUUUGACUAAGAUAUUAACCAUAUGUACUCAUGAGAGUUUUAAAAAACGUAGGUACAAACAAGUUAUAUUAAAAAUUAGGGGUCAUUGUGGAGUUUUAGAUCUCAAAGAUUGAUCAUCUUGAUUUCUUUAGUUGCGUAUAUUAAUGCAUAUUGACCUUUUCACCUAGCUAUAAAAAAAUCCUAGCAUAUCAAACAACGGAUCCUACAAUAUGGGUGAAGUUAGAGCUAGCCUUGUGGAUCCUUGGAAAAUGGUCAUGACCUUGGAGGUAUGGACGGCAAACGCGACCCGAGGCCACAAGCGUGUUGUUACCUUCUCCACUUUUGACUCGUUCGCAAGAUGUAGAGGACCGGGGCCAAAGUAUAUAGUGGUUUGAUGGAAGUUUCAUGGAGGAUGCCGGCAUCCGUUUGUCACCUUUAGCUUUAAGAAAGCUAUUAGGAAAUGAAGUAGUUGUUGGUCUUGGAUUGAUGUUGCUAUCAGGCAUUGCCUGGUGUAAAUAGACAUUCAGACUAAACAUCAAUCAAACUCCAGUUGAUCCAAAAUUAGAGUCCGAGGGCCCCAUUAAGCUUUGCCCAUGAUGCAGUCGCUUUCUUUGUUUGAAAUCUAGCCCCUUAGUAUUUUUGAAUGAUGCACAAAGAAGCCCUCAUCAUGUGGUGAUUUCAAGACAAUGAUAAAUUUUCUUUUAUUUUCCUUUCAAAUGUUAGGGCUUGACUAUCAUCUCAGUUACCCCCCCCAGUUUUCUCUCUCUCUUUCUCUCUCCUUUGGUAGAGCAGUUUUUCUCUUUUACAAUACAACAAAUCAUCAUUGUUCAUCCACUUGGCAAUUAGUGAAUCAAUAGGAGGCAUUGGUUUAAUUAAACUUUGUUACUGUUCACUGAAUCAUUCUAAAUUGCACUUGGAGUAUCCAAAUAUAGGUUUCAAUAGAGCGCUGAUAGUGGUGGUGAUUGAAGGCUUUUUUAAAAAAAGUACUACUUUCUUCCACACUCAAUGUCCUUUCCUUGUUGAGCUAGCUACGGUGAAUGGACAAUUGAAAUCCUAAACCUAGGGAAGAUGCUUCCAUCCAAUCAUUCAAUAAUGAGAACAUUCUCAGGGUCCUUAAGACACCACCAUACAAUAGAUAAAUGCAAAGCAAUCAGGAUGUUAGUACUAGAAAGUAACUUUUUUAGAUAUAUUUUUUAAAAUAUGUUUCAAGUUUUAGACAUCCUGGAAGAAAGCAGAUUAAAAAAUGGAAUUAGGAAAAAAAGGCUAGGUGAUUACUCUAUCAAUGUUAUUAUAUAUUCAUCAAACAAGAAACGCAUUCUCUGUAAUAACUAAUAUAAAUAUUGUUAAGUCAAAUAUUAGAAUAUGUUAUGGUCUAAGAUGAAGCUACGUUUGCCUAGCUCAUUGUUUGUCAGAAAUGAAAGUUGCUUGUUUAGAACCUUGAGGUUAGAAUUUAAAAUGUGUUAGGGUUAUUAUAAUUCUUUUGUUAUAGUCUAUAUUUUAAUAGAUAGUGAAGGAAAAGAGGUAUACUUACAGAGUUUCUAGAAUUGUUUACCUUAUGUUACUGAAGUCGUAACAAAAAGUUCAUUUUGAAUGUUACCGAUAAAGAAAUGUAAACAAACUUUUAUGGAUGAUCUAAUCUGUGCCACUAUUAAUGCCAUUCCAAUAAAAUAUGCAAGAACUUGUAAUCGAUUGAACUUACUGAAAGUUCAAUAUAAAGCUUAUGUUCUUGUAAAGACCCGUGUGGGCAUAUAUUUAGUCCCAUAUCAGUUAUUCGUUGGAUAAAUUUUGAAUAUUUAUACAUGAUCAAGUAACUCAAAUAAUACCUUCUAGCUAGUGUUUUUAAGUGAAGUUAUGGAUUGUUACAACUAAUAUUAGAGCGAACCCGGCCCAUUACCUAUGUGAGCUAAGAGAGACUGCAACUUGAAUCCAUUGGGGUUAACUAUGGAUCGAUUGUGGUGCUUGUGAUUAGAUUUGAAUGGAUUUAAACAUUUAGCUCGACGAGGAUAUUACAGCUUAAAUGGAUGGAGUAUGUGAGGACUCGUCCCACAUUCCCCUUCCAACUAGUCUUUUUCUGGAUGAGGUUGGUUAGUAAAAUUGCAUGCACUUAACAUUAUUAUUCCAGUGUAAUAAAGCAUUUAAAUACGCAAAACAUUCAACAAGAGAUGUUACUAAUGAUAUUCAGCUUACUGAAUUGACUAGUAUAUAAUAUUGGGAUUAUAGGCAGUAAUUCUUGUAAGUACAAAUGUUAUUAACUAAGAGAUGUCCUGGACCCAAUAGUGCAUGAGAGUGCUUUUAGAUAUACUAAAUUUUAUGGUCUGGGUGGGUUCACGACAACAGCCAAAAGGUGGUUGAACCAAACCAUUUGCUGAAUUAUGAUAAGAUAUUUUGGUGAAGUGAACAAGUUUUUUUUUCUGGCAACCAAUGAUGCUACUCUCCCUAUCAGUGGGAUGAGUUGUAGAUGAUGGAAGGUGCAUAUCUUAUGCUAGCUUGGUCCAAUUGGAUCCAGUGCCAUUAAUUAUUAACGAGGACUAAGUCAUGGAAGUUAGACUAGUCUUUUGGCUGUUCUAGACCAAAAUAUAUCUUAAAAUGCUGGAGCUGGCGGUGGACAUUACUGCAAUCAUGUUUCCUGUUCUUAGAAAAGUUGGUGCUAAUUAUCUUUGGAUCUAGAGAUUCAUUUGGAUGGUUUGUUUCCAACAUGGAGUAUUUUUCGACUACAAACCAUACAUCAUAUGUGCACUUAGACUCCCUUAAAUGUCCUCUUACUAAUUAAAUGGCUUUAAAGGAGAAUCCACAUUGCCUUCUUAUGAAGUAGGAACCCUAAUUUACAAUGGGGUGUCUAGCUAGGCAGAAUAGAAUGAUGAGAACCCUAUAAGGGAAUUUAAGUCCUCUUCUAGUUAUGCUGUCAAUGCGUUAUCAUGCUUCAUCUCUAUCUUGCAGGUUCAUUAAAAGGAAAUAUCAAGAAAGACCACAAUUCCUAAGACGUGUGAAGAUAAAAAAAUCGCAAGGUGUUGGAAAAUGAAAGCAUUGUCCUAACAAAAUAGAUAUAUAUUAUUCAAAUAGCUAUCAGUUAUUGCAUAACCAUUGUUUUUAUCGGCUUCGCACCUCACAUGAUAAUUAAUUAAUGUUGGAGUCUGGAGAAGUUCUAACUCUAACUUACAAUACCUCAAAUUUCCUAUUCAUGCUUGUUCAAAUUAAAAAGACAAAAAGAAAAGAAAAAGAAGUCCUAUUCAUGUAGUACAAAGGCUCUAAAGAAGAUAAAUGGAAGAAGUGGAUGAUGUUUUACAUAAAAUAAGCCAUUCUAGCCACUCCUCGCGACCUCAACCAGGGUCGAAGGCGCUGCCAUUUCGAUCUCGCUGGAGAAAAAGAAGGGGAGGGGAGAGGAGACGCGAACAAAUUAACCAGGCUUGUUCCUGGAAGAGCCUAGGGUUUUCACUACACGAUGCGAUAGAAAGGAGUAAUAUAUAGCUAGGGUUUGAGCAAAAAAGGCAUCAAAGAAAGUAGAGAUGCGGUCCAUCAACUUCUAAGUAAGAUUGUGCUCUUUUCAAAAUGAGACACUAGGUUUAUAUUUCUCAGCCUCUUCCUCCUUCUGCAUGCUUUCCUUUCUUCAUGCAACCUGAAAUUUGGUAUGGUGAGAGGUGGAUUUCCCAUUUCUUCACUCUCUUUUCCUUGCCUGGAGUGCAUUAGAUAUGCAUGAUUGUCGGAUAAUAAUCCAGUGGAAAGAGUGGAGCGAACGAAAAGAUGGCGUCCGCAUGGUGAGUGAAAAUAUUCCAAGGGCUCACAUUUUUCCUGUUAAAACUUAGACAAUAGGGCAUUUAGAAUGCAUGCUAACAAAAAAUAAUAUAUAAAAAUAAUAAUAAAAAAAAAGUUAAGAAGAAGAACAAAUUGACAUCUAAAAUUCUUAAAUUGAAACUCUCAAACUAAGAAUUCAUGGCGAGUGAUUUUUUUUUUAUUUUACUAUUUGUAGAUUGUAGUGGACUUUAGUUUAAAGUAAUCAAUCAAGGAUAAGAUCAUCUUAGCAUCUCUGGCUAACUUAACCAGAAUCCAUUGUUCAUAGAGGAGAUACCAGAUUAAUAGAAAAAUCUUUUGUAUAAGGAGGCAAAUAGCAUCGCAGACUAAGUUGCUUUCUUUACGGCUCACUACUCUGAAGGCUUCAUUUGGGCGGACUUCGAGUCAGUGUCAGAGCCUAUUUUGUUUUUUGAUUUUGCUGGCUGCAUCCAUACCAUAUGAGCAAGGUUGUACAAUUUUUUUUAAUAGAUAUGGUUAAAUUUAUAAAUAGAAAUUAAGAAAUAUAUUACAUAAUAUUGAUAAAAUUCAUGAUUAUGAAAAUUUGAUUUCCGUGGGUCUUUUUAAUCUCAUGCAGCGUCCGAGAUGAGAUGGUUCCCGUGCAUCUGUGGGUCCCAUCCCUAAGAUGCGCCCGUUCACGCCUAUCAAAAUAUACCGCCCGCUCGCUCGUGCGACUCACCAGCGCGCCGACCCCACACGGGGAGAAAUCAUUGCCUCCACUGCGUGCACCACGUGGCCGCGCACGCAGCCAAUAGGAGCCGCUAGUUCCCGUAGAUCAUUCAUCAAAUACGUAUCUCGACGCAUCAUUAUAGAAACCAGCGGCCGUGAUUAGCUGGGUGCACGUGCCACAAGUCCCCAACGGUAAAAUUAUUUUUGUGCCACCCCCAACAACUCACCCAUGUGAACGUUGCACGUGGAACCAACCAAGUUACUUGUUUUUUAGUGUUUUCUUGUCCGCACCCGGCUUGACUCGGGUUCAAAAUAAUAGCCGUUUUCUGGUCACGUAUUUGAAACUCGUUCUUUUUGGUCCCCCUUUUUUUUUGGUUGGUCGAAUUUGGUGGACUCCAAUUACAAGACUUCCAUAACCAUUUAUAUGCACAUAAAUGGCAUAAAAAUAAUUUAAAUAAUAGCCAUAUUUGGAUUGGUAUUAUAUUAUUUAUACGAUAAAACUAUAUUUUUGUGAACUUUAAUUCUAGAUGGCACACCACAAGGCAGCUUUUGAUUUUAUUAGUAGUGACGUGGCCACAUGGCGUAUUAUUAGGUUAUAACAAUUAAUAAUAAUGAUGAUCAUAGUAUGAUCCCAUUUCAAAAAAAUACAUCUAAAAGUUUAGGUAUGACAAUAAAAUAUAGUUUUGGAGCUAUUCUACUAUUGAAGGAUAUUGCUAUUAUGCUAACUUGCUUGAGUAGAACCCAUGAUUAAAUAAUUGUCAUCCUAACAGUUUAGGCACCCUCUUUGCAUCAGAAAGACUGAUCUUUGCUUCUUUUUUUUUGUAAGUUGUAAUAUGACUAUUCAAAAUCCAUGUAAAAACUAAGUUAUUUAGUAGAAUAUAACAUAUUACAUUCUGCUAUAUAUAGGAGGUUGCUUACAAUGACAUUAAUUAAUAAAAGCCAUUAUAGUGCAGCAAGAAGCAUUUAAACUAUUUAACUUUCGAGUAAAGUAAACUACUAAUGGAUAGUUACUUCAGUGGAUAUGAAGAAGCAGAAAUGUUGGAGCUAUCAGAUCGGAUGCAAACAUUUUGCUUUGUCUUAUUUUUGUUUGUCUUUUUUUGGUUUGCAUGGAAGCCAGCUGAGAGGGUGGUGUUAGUAGGUGGCUCAAACUAGGCUUUCACAGCACUAUAAGAACACUAUUCACCCUCUAAGGCCAAGACAAAAUCAACUUGUUCCUUGAUGAACUUCAUUUGAUAUAGUGAAGUGACCUUAUGUUAAUAUUGUCUGCCCUUUGGUUCAAACAUUAGAAGGGAAAAAGGCCUUUAUCAGCAAAUUUUGGCAGACACUUCCUUAACUGGAGUCCCUGAAAACAACAAACAGAUGCUGAAAAACAUAUUAGUAGCUGAUUCGAUUCUCCAAUCUAGUUUCUUGGAUUGCAUCCAAUGGGAUGAACACGCAAUUAUGAGUCAAACUGAGCUACUUCAUUCCUAAUUGAUGACAAUUCAAAUCCUUUCUAAUCUGCAGUUUUUCAUAGCAUAUCAGGCAUCCUGCAUCAUCUUGUAAGUAGUCAUAGAAUUGCCAAUAGGGAAACAAAAUUAAAGAACAGAAUGGAAACUCCUCCAUUCAUGUUCUUUUUUCCAGCUUCAUCUCCUUCCGCUGUCGCCACCUUUGCUGCAAAAUUUUGUAGCACCACCUCGAUCUUCAUGGAUGAAUUUCUCACACCAGCGUCCUCUUCCUCCCCAGCCCCUUUGGAUCCAAGGACAAGCUUAGGGAUGGACUGGGAGAUCGGAAAACGCACGGAGGAUUAAGGGUCUUCAGUUAAAGAACAUUUACGUGAUAUUAGCUCUUUAUAGGGAUUUAUAUAUGAACUAUUGCCGGCCAUGGAUUAGUAGAUACGUUACUAAAUAAUAAAUUAUGUGUUUUACCUAUGAUAGCCUAGAGAACUUAAAAAUUAAACAUUUAAUAAUCUUAUUUACUUCAAAGCAGUCUUUGAGAGAAAGUGAUGACCACUCUGAUAAACUACAUUCCUUGCGAGAACUACCACCUAAAUAAUCUCCUCCUUGGAGUGGCCUCUUGUAAUGUGGCCCCUGUCACUUGAAAUGCAUGCCAUUUUUCAGCAACAAGCAAUCAACUACUUUGAAACUCUUGUUCUGAAUCACCCCAGCAGGUGGAAAAAUAACUAGUCAUGUUAAGAAUUUGGAACAACCAAAAUCUAAAAGAUUAGCUGCGCCAGGCCCGAUCUCAGGUUGCAAGAGAUCCAGGUCAGAUUAGGUUCAACUUGACCCGGAGCUGUGAGGACCUAACUAGGCUUGAAAUUUUAAUCCCAAAUGAGCCCACUCUCUAGGCAAGCAAGGGUUGGCUUGGGUCUCUUUAAUGUCGGACCCGUUUGAAUCUAAUAUAUGGGGCCAGAUCCAAAUAUUGUAUUCUAACAUUAGACAAGUCUAAUUGGAUCCAUUGAUCCAUUUUGAUCUGACUGGAUCAGGUCUAAUUUUGCAAGAUUCAUAUCUAACAAUGGAUUUUGAUAUAAGUUGGUGAGUUAGGCAAUCUUCUCCUCCAAUUGUAUGAGACGUCUCUGCAUCUCAUCAUUACCCAUUGAGGAAGAACUAGCAGUUAUACUUACCCUGUCUUUCAAUGUACUUGAAGCACGGAUAGCCCUUCUCCUGAUUGUUUAUAUUGCUCAUGUAUUUGACCACGAAUAGAAGCUCCUUCCGGCUAGUCUUUUUGAGUAAGGUCGUGGAUUGUGACAUCAUGUCAGUAAAUAACAAAUCAAGAAACAUCAUCUUUCGGUGUUCCCAUGGAGCAAAUAUUACCUUUGAGGAGUAAGAUUCUGGCAAAAAAAAAAAAGCUUGAGAUUUAAGUUUAGAAUAUUCAUAUGCUUUGGAGAUAGAGGGAAUGUUGUUCCCCACUCACAUAAUGCAACUUUGCUUAUAGGGAUAAACCUUUUGAUUGGCGAUUUCGAGGAAGCACAAAAUGGAUGCUAAUUCAGCAACAAACUGAAUGAACAAGAUAUGAUUAACUUUUAGGGAAUUCUUCGAGGUGGAAACCAGUCUAUUGCUUGUAGACUAGGGAAUCACCUGAAAAAGCACAUGCCAUGAUCUUUGGUGAUCAAAGUUCACUAAGUUCUGAUGUGUUAUCAGAAUCGGCAUACAGUUUCGUGAGUGUCGAGCUCCAAGCUCCAUGAGAGUGCAACAAUUCCCUUCUCCAAAGGGAUUUAGAUAAAAUAAUCCCCUGUUUAAUAACCAUAAAAACCUCUAAAUCUAUAGACUUUGUCAAUCUGUGCAAACGCUUAUCUAAAUAUUAAUUGCAAGAGAGAGUAAAGCAACAAAAGGAAUCCAUGAAAACAGACAAGAAAUAUGGCACUCAAAUUUCUGUAUCCGUAGCGACCAUAAAAUGUUCACCAUUUAGUACCAAACAACACCUUGGUAAAAGAUAUGAGUGCAUAUAUCUGAGUUUACUAUUUUAUAUGUUUUUCUCUUUGCAAAUUCUUUUAUUUACUGACAUCAUUUUCAACAAACUUCAGAAAUUGUUAUGGAGCAUGGAUUCUAAUUACCAUAUUACAAUUUACAUCCUAGUUCAUUAUCUUAUAUGAUUUUCUCUUCACAAAUUCUUUUAUGUAGGGAAACCUUUCUCCACCAACUUCUGAAAUUGUUAUGGAGUGCACGUAGAAUGAGAAGGAAUUACAGGAGUAUAAAGAAAAAGAAUUAGAAUGCCCAAGUUCCUUUUUCUAGAGGCUUUACCUCAACAACAAUACAAUGGAGAAGCUGCUCACCAACUGAGCUCACAAAAACAAUGAUUAUGAACUACCAAAUUUAGAAGAUUGAUCAUGUCAUUUAGAUUGUCACUGACACAACAUUUUAAACAUGAAUGCAUAGGAAAAAUCUGCAACUACAUAAGAUACUUUCGACAUUUUAAUUGCAUAAGCAUAGGCAACUGCUUCACCACCUCAUCCUGUUGAACCAUGUCUGUUUAGAAAAUAUUUCGAGCUUUUAAUCUGCCAACAUCAUGAAACAAAAUAACAAUCCUAAACAAAUCGUUUUUCUCUUGAUGACAUGAUCAUUUCUAAGGCAAUGAUCAGCUCUCUUUCCAAUAUUUUAUUGGGAAAUGGCUUCUAUCAGUCAAAUGGCAUCAAAAUCCAAAAUACACAUAAUCAAACAGCAUCAAGGUUUUGCCAUACAGGUUCUGACCUUAAAUUGGAAUAUUAGGUCUCUAAUAUAUAUUAACUCCUUAUAUCUGAAUAUUUUAAAUGAUACUAGUCCAUGUCUAAAACCAAGGGAAAAAAAAGAACAUUGAUGUCGGGUGUCCAGACGGUUGUCAACAAUGUCCCAAAUAUCCAAUUCGAUUUAAUUAGGCCUCCUAGUACUAUCAAAAAAAAAUGGUUAUUAGGACCAGGUCCCUCUUUGAUGUGAAUAAUCCUCAUAUGAUAAGAAUAAUUAGGAACAGGCCCCUCCUUGAUCCUUUAUUUUGGUAAAAUAUCUCUUUACCGAACACAAGACUUCUUACAUGAGUAACUAUUAAUAGCAAGGUUUUAAAUCUCCUAGAAUGGAGCUACUCCAUUUUUUCUAGGGAGCAGGAUGCACCGUCGUCCUGCUCUGUCUUGACAUUUGGAAUCAGAGAUGUCCCAAAAUAUGCCAAUUGGGAUGCUAGGAUGAUAGCGGAAUGGCCCCACCCCGACAAAAUGGAAGGUAAGGGAUGUUCCAAGAUAUACCAAUCAGGAUGUUGGGAUGAUGGAGGAAUAGUUCUACCCCAACAUAAUGGAAGGUAUUCCAUCUCAAUGUCUCGCUGAAUGUUCUGCUCAGACUUGAAUCCUUGAUUAAUAGUUUUCAUAUUAAUUAUUUAGCUAUUUUGAGGUCCAUCUUUGAGAUGUGAACUGUUGAUGUCUCCACACGUAGAACAUACUAAGUGGAGAAUUUCUCGUACAUUAUAUAUUUCAAGUAAGGGAGAUUUAGGUCAAGUGAGCCCAUUGAAAUUACUUGUCUCAUCUAUGAUUUCGUUGGUUGGACCUCAUGCACCAAUCGCCCUAGUAUGAAAACUAGGAGAAGAUCCUUUUUUUUUUUCUCUUUAUGAAAACUUGUAUGAAAGCCAAUGAUGUACUUGCAUGAUAGUUUAAAGGUGGUAUAUACCAUAAUUAUAUACAUUUGAAUGUACCAUUUCUAGUAAUUUGAAAUGAAUAUUUCUCUUUGCCUUUUUCAUUAUUUAAAUCACAAUGAUGAAAAUACUUGUACUUUUUUAUACAAAUAAAAUGUAGAACCACCUUUACAUACCAUGCACAGUGUGACGCCUGAUUGUUUACCACCAUUUUCUAUUAAGAAAAGGUUAAAAUCACUUCCAUUACUCUAGUUUUCUUUUUUUUUCCAGUUUAAAUUACAACGAUGAAAGUAACUAAACACCCAUUCUUGUUUGAUGUAGAGGAAAAGCCAAUGUAUGCUACCAAUAUCUAAUUAUCUGCAAAUAUUAUCUCUCAAAAAAAUGUUAAGAUCACUUCCAUCACUUUAGUUUUCUCCUUUUUUUUUUUUCUAAUUGCAAUGGUGAAAUUAUUCAAACCUUUCAAUAGAAAUAAAAGCCAUGACCACCUUUAUAGAAUGCGAUGCAUGUAACAAGGCAUGCACUUUGCUAGAUGUUCAAUCACCUACAAAUAACAUCUUUUAAGAAAAGUGAUGUUAAAAUCGCUUAUCUUUUAGAAAAGUGAUGUUAAAAUCGCUUAUACACUUUCCUUCUUUGUAUCAUUUUCUAAUAUAAGAGGAGAGCGAAACCUAAUGGGGUACAUAUUUUCUAAUUAUUUUAGGAAAAAUCUUGAUACACUUACCUUAUUUAUAUUUUGAACAAUGCCACGCUCAUUUGCAGGCAUUUACUUUUGCAAAUAUAUGCUAUCUAUAUAUAUUUUCUAAAUCCUAAACUCUAUCAAUUAGAAAAAAAAAAGAAGAACUAUAGGUAGAAAGAUAUAAUGAUGCAUAUAUUUAUCUAUAAAAUUGAUGAAUACAUCACAAUAGUAGCACUUUCAUAGGAACACCUCACUUUGAUUUAAUUUUCUUUAUUAUAUUUUAAACUGUGGUAACGAAAAGUAUUUAUCAUGGCGGUAAUGACAACCACUCCAAUAACGUAUGCUUUAGGCGCGCAUGAUGCCGGAUGUCCAAGUUUAGAACAUACAAAACUUCUUAAUCCAUGCAAAUUAAUCUAUGAUAAGAAUGCUUCCAUUUCAUAAGCCUUUUUUUCUAUUUUCUAUGCCAGNNNNNNNNNNNNNNNNNNNNNNNNNNNNNNNNNNNNNNNNNNNNNNNNNNNNNNNNNNNNNNNNNNNNNNNNNNNNNNNNNNNNNNNNNNNNNNNNNNNNNNNNNNNNNNNNNNNNNNNNNNNNNNNNNNNNNNNNNNNNNNNNNNNNNNNNNNNNNNNNNNNNNNNNNNNNNNNNNNNNNNNNNNNNNNNNNNNNNNNNNNNNNNNNNNNNNNUCUCUCUCUCUCUCUCUCUCUCUCUCUCUCUCUCUCUCUCUCUCAGAUCCUUUCCAGUCCGGCGCACGCUAUUCUACCUCCCUGCGCCCCCGCAAGCGCGCGAUAGCGUCCCUCCCGGCCUUUUCUGCCUUCUUAUCCCCGUCGUCUUCCCAAAGGCCUCCUCGUGCCCAUACUCGGGCCGGCAGGCAAGCUCGAAACCCUAAUUCCCUCUCCGGAGGUGUCCCGGAACCCCAUAGGAGGGUCAUCCGAUCGGAGCCUAUCUCGCCCUGGGAAGGAGGAUGAGGAGCCGCCGCGGACGGCCCCUGAAGGAGCUGUAUGAUGCCACGAGGAAGCUCUCAGAACCGGAGGCAUGUAAAGUUACCCCCUUUCUUCCUUCUAAUCAGGGUUUCUUGUUCGCCCUCCUGAAAAUGGAUUCUUUUUAGACCAUUUUAUGUCUUCCUGAACUGAAUUAUUUGUUUCGAUGGAUUUUUUUUGGUGAGGAUUUGGUUUGUUUGCUCAUUUCACGAGAUUAUUGCUGGGUAUGAUCAAUUAUUGAAGGAAAACUAGAUUUUACUGUGGCUUUUGUGGGAGAAAGAUUACUUUUUUUGCCUGUUUUUAUUUCACAAUAAUUCACUGUAGUUUGUUGUUUUUUAGGGUUUCUGAGUCAGACGGCAUGGUUGCAUUGCAUCGUUAUUUGCAUAGUUGAUUCCGCGAGAAAUGAUUGCUGUUGUUAUGCGAAUAGAUCUUGAAGCAUCCUUGGAUUGUGUUCUUUGUGUGGUUUGUUCAUGAUGAUAGUUUGUUGCCCUUUUAAUUGCUGAAUUUGGUAGUGAUAUGAUGACAAUUGUUAUUGAUGCGAGUUUCUAAUCUUCUUUCUAGAUCACUCCAGUAUUGCAAGGGACAUGCCACAUCCAAGGACCUAUUGAUGAGGCUAACUAUGAUCUACAGAGGACAGAUUUGGUAACAGGCAUACUUAACAUAUUUGAACUACUUCCUUUUUCUUCUAAAUGUACUGACUUUAUGUGCCAUUUUCUUUACCAGUGUUAUUGUCUAGAGGUUAGUAUGAACUAUCGCAUUCAAUUCUUUGUGAAACAUUCAAUUGUACUGACAUACUAAGACUACAUGGCCCUUAUUCAUGUUAGACCGCAUGGCCCUUAUUCAUGUUACUUCUUAGUUUAUUCAUAGUAAGAUAACAUGCUAAUGUAUGCGAGCAUGACGGAUACAUGUCAAAAGUCAAAAUGGUACCUUGUAGGCGGCCUACAUGUAACAUGACAUAAAUUAAGGUCAGAUGUACAACAAUAAUCAUCAGUUCUUCAUUUUUAAUGGUUUUUAUUUUGGUGUUAUCAGUUUUUAGGUUAUUUUGUUUCUUAUUUUUAGAUGCUGUUUUGAUGUUAAACCAUAUUUCAGUUCUAAAAUUAUUUUUGCAAUUUAACAUCAUUCUGCUAAAUUGAUCGAAAAGUUGUGAAAGAAUUGGCUUUGCGCUUCUCUAAACAUUAUUUGUUUCUUAUUUGUUAUAUUGCUUUUCCCUGUUAAUGCAUUUCUUUAGUCUAUACAUGGACUGCGUGUGUAGAUUAUUAGAUAUUCACCCAGACUGUAGUGUGAUAAUCCUUGCUUGUUAAUUUAUUAAUUAUAUAUAUGGGUCUAUGCUGUAAAGCAAAGUGCAUUAAUUCUAUUACUUGCUCCUCAAGUUAAAUGGUAUUAUAACCUGAAAUUGUUGAUGUCUGAUCAUAGAAAAUGCUUCAAUGGUUUGCUAUGCUUUUAUAUGUAUUAUAUGCAUCUUUUUGAAAAAUAAAAAAAAUAUCCAGUAGAUAUUCUAUAUGUUUUGAUUAUAUCUUUUUAAGUUUUUUUUUAUAUUCAACACUUUGUUGUUGUGCCAAAUCUUGAUACAUUUAUCCCUUCCUUUGAAAUAUAAUUAAGGUGCUUUGAUUCGUGCUAGAAAGAGACUAGACUCCCAUCAAGCUACCUUGCCUGAGUGUAGGCUGAAUGAUUUUGGGUUUGUCAGGCUUAAGUCCAAAAAGUUUCUUGAAAGUCAAGCCCUAGCUCAAACUUGAGCCCAGCCUAAGGCCUAAAUAGGGUCAAUUACAUUUGGCUAACAGGUUGGUCCAAACUUAUGCUUGAUUUGGAGAAAGGGUACUGUUGAGGGAAGGAGGCCUAAGCCGCCAAGAUAAUUGGAGGUCCAAAGGUUGGUGAUUGAGACCAUGGGGAUUGACGAACGGGACAAGGCUGAUGUUGCCAUAGCAGAUCACUGGAGAGAAGGGGCUGAGAUUGUGGAUUAGUGGAGGGGAGGAGGCUGUAGUCAUUGUGGUGGAUUGGUGGAGGGAAGGAGGUUGAUACUAUCAUGAAUUGGCAGAGGUUAGAGGCUAUGGUGGUUGUGAAUCAUUGCAUGGGAGGAGACCGAGGCAGCAAUCAGUGGCGGGGAGGAGGCUAUGAAGCAACAAAUCAACAAAAGGGAGGAGAGGAGGUGAGAAACUUGCUAGUGGCAAGAGAUGUGAAGAGGUGAAGACAACAGGGAAGCAGAAGGUCAACAAGUCUGACAGAGGAGAAGAGAUGAAGGGGAGAAGAGGGGAGGAAGUCUCUAGAACGAGAUGAGAAAGGGGAUGUGGGGUUUCAUCAUUGAAUUUUGUAAAAACUUGAACCUGACCAUCUAUCAAUUUCUAAUUGAUGACUAGGGUAUCUUAUAUAGAUAUAACACAUUGUAUAAUAUAUAUGUAAACAAUAAGUAUAUAGUAUAAUAUUAUUUGUUUCACAAUUUCAGGCUAGGCUUGAGCCGAGCCAAGGUUUCCCUAAACUGGGUCCUAAAUUUGUUUGGGCCUUUAACUUUCAAUCUUGGUCCAUUCCAAAAUUUAAAAUUCUCAGCCCAAGCUUGGCCCAGGCCCAUUACCAGCCCUGGCAUUCAUACUCUUUUGACAUCACAGUGUUGCAAAUUUGUAGAAAAGAUGAUUCUUUUUGGGCAGAAGAUGGUCACCCACCAGAUUCAUUAAGAUGAAAAAAUUGCUUUUGCAUGAAGGACUAUGAUUAUUUGCACCUUAUUAUGAAUCUUUAGAUUCUAUAUAUCCAUUUAGGGACCACUUCGUGUAUAGGUAAGGGGUCUUCGAUCCAUGAUUUUUUGUUUAUAGGCACUUUAGACCUUCUAGGUCAUGCCUGCAUUUUCAUUUCGCAACCCCAUCCUUGAAUUUGGUAGUUGAUUGCAACAUCCUCUUUUCCAUCUUGUGGUACCAUAACUCUACUUAAUACAUUGAUGCACCUAUACAUAUAGAUACUUAUCUGCACACAGACAUAUGCAGACUUGCACAAUUUUAACUUGUAAAAGGGCAUGUGCAGAUGCAUUGAAGUGGUCUAAAUUUUAUCUACAUUACAAAAAUGAGAUUGAUAAUGAUUUAAAUCAAGGAUUUUGUAGUGUUAGGUUUCUCUCUCAAAGCACUAAAACUAAGUAGAUAUGAUGAUAAUUGGUAAGAAUAAUCCUAUAAUGAUAAGCUAGGAUUUUUUAAUGGAGUUCUAGAAGCUUUAAGAAGAGCUACUCUAAAAUUCUAGACUUGGGAUAGGGAGAGCAUGCUAAAAGGUGGGUGGAGUUUGCACAUGUAAGCUAGGUGAAGAUUCAAAGGGUAGUUAAUUAUAAUCAUACUUUUUCAAAUUCUUUUAAUUUUCAUUCUAUGUAAGUAUUAGUUGAGCCUCUCUAGAAAUUAGAUGUUUUGAAAAGUGAAACAACACAAAAUGAAGUGGUUGGACUCAGCUACAGACUCCAGAGGGCAAGUUUAUUUCCCUUUUUUUUUUUUGCAACAGUUGCCGAAAGUGAAAAACCAGUACAUAAAAUCAGUCCUGGCUAGCCAACCCAAUGGGUUGAAUGGUCAUCUAGCUUGAUCUUUGGUUUGGAUAAAUGCAAAAUAAGGAAACUUGUGUAUUUAUAAGAGCUACUUGGAUUGGUCAUUUAAUUGGCAACCUUCUUGGUCUGUUUUGGUUUUAGAUCCGCCAGUUAUACCUUAUUUAUUAUUUAUUAUAAAAAAAUAUUUUUGGUGUUGAAUUAGGGGUUAGGUUUUGUCCACCUAAGGCAUCAUGGGCAAAAAGCAGCUACAACUUCCUCUCUCGUCAACUCUCAACCUUGCUCAAGUCCUUAAGUUUAACCUAUAAUAUUGUGACUUCUUCAACAGGCAAAACUGGGUAUGGAAAUUGGUGCUAUAUUCCUUUGUCUUCUAAUCUUUACUCUCACCCCUCCAAGAUCUAGACCUUGGCUUUGGCCCAAGCCUCAAGUCUCAAGCUCAAGACCUUAGAACCUCUCCUUGGCAUGGAAGGUGGCUAUGGAUCCCAAAGUCUCGUCUCAACCCUCAAGCUGCAUAACUUAAGGCCUCAAAACUCAAACCCUCAAGGCUCAAACUUUGACUUAACGGUUUCUUCAUGGAAGGCGACUUGGGUGAGGAAAGUGGCCAUCACUCCUCCCAUCUCAAGCCUCUACUGUAGUCACUUUAGACCUCAACCUCAAGCUUUUGAUGCUCCUAUGCUUGUACAUAUGUUGAUUGAUACAUUGAAAGUUGUCUAAAUUCAUGAUGAUAUCAAACUAUGUUUUUGUUUUGAGAAUUUUGAUUGGUUAUAUCUUAGUAAUAUACUAUCAAUGAAGAAACUAUAUAGGAGGAUAUCAUUAUAUUAUGCAUUAUUCUGAUGUUAUGUGAUUGUACAGCAUGCUAAAAACUGUUAGACAGGUGCUUAAAAAAAGAAAGUUUGAGAGGUUUUAUCAUAUAUAUAUAUAUAUAUAUAUGCUAUUCUAUUGAUUUUUCUAUUCAUUAUUGGUGGUUGAUAUAUUUAUUGUAAUGAUAACAUCAUUUUCCUUUUGUUUGAUGCAGUGUUUGAAUUGGUGGUCAAUGACUCAGUCUCAUUUCUGGUUGGAUGAGUAAUGUGGUUUUUAAACAUUGCAAAAAUCAACUUUAUGAUGGACAUUCAAAGUGUUGCAUAAUUUUACUGUAGUAGGAAUUUAACAAUUUUAGAUAGCUGAAAUUGUACUAACCCUGGUCCAGUUGGUCAAGGUAAACCAUGAUAGUGUAGUGCAGGCAAGUUGGGUCAGAUCCUAUCCAAUUGAGCUAUUGCCAGUUGACUUGUGUGAUCGAGUUAAUCAAGUCUUGAUUAGUAUCUCGGAUUGGCCCUGCUUGAUAAUGCAGAUAGGGUUGGAUUUUAUCGAGUCCAAUCUAUCAGAUCUCAUGUGAUAAGAUCAGCUCACAGGUCCUACCUUAGUUCCUAUGUUUCUCAUUUAAUUGUAGAAUGCGAGCUGUUCUCUUUGAUCUGAUUCCUUAACUCUGAGGACCAUCAAAUUGUCUAUUCUCUUGUAAUUUUCACUGCCACUAUAUACUUCUGCAAUAUUUAAUAUGUUGCAUGUUUUAUAUCUAUGCAGAAGUAGUAAAUGCCUGCUUCAACUGUAUAAGGAACAUUUUUUGUUUCCCUUCAACCUGCCAAUUAUAUUUCAUUCUUUACUGAUGAUGUUUGUCUGCUUAUUAAUAAGAUGUUAGAUAUUUUAGUCAAAUUGUCUAUUCUCUUGUAAUUUUGGCAGGCACUAUAUACUUCUGCAAUAUUUAAUAUGGUGCAUGUUUNNNNNNNNNNNNNNNNNNNNUGGCAGCCACUAUAUACUUCUGCAAUAUUUAAUAUGGUGCAUGUUUCAUCUCUAUGCAGAAGUAUUAAAUGCCUGCUUCAACUGUAUAGGGAGCAUUUUUUGUUUCCCUUCAACCUGUCAAUUUUAUUUCAUUCUUUACCGAUGAUGUUUGUCUGCUUAUUAAUAAGAUGUUAGAUAUUUUAGUGUGUUUAUGUCGUGGUUUUACUGUUUUUGAAUUAUGUCAUACUUCUACUGUUUUUUUGAAUGAUGUUGUGCUUUUAUUGUAAAACACCAGGAAGGGAGAUUAUCCACAUCAAACAUACUUAAGUGCAUAAACACAUAAUGUAAUUGCAUGUUCCUAUAAACCUCCAGUGCAGUCUUUCUGUAUCAGUUUUGAAGCUCUGAGGUCAUUAUAUUUGAUAUAUGAUGUUUUAACAAGUUGCAUAUUGAAUUUUCUUUCACUUGUCUACAAUAGGGUGAUUUUCCAGUUGAAGGAAGACACUUACUUGUGAAUGAAAAACUUUGCACCAGAGCAGAACCUGGUACGUGCAACGUAUGUUCUGCUCCUUGCAUAUCUUGUUUGCACUUAAAGCGAACUGUGCUGAUCAUGGAAUCAAAAAUCAAGGAUGGGCUUUCACAUGACACUUCUGGGAGAAAAGAUGAUAGUUCUGUUAUUGGUGACAAAGUGCCUAAUUAUAGCAGCAGAGAAUGUGAUGAUCAGCAGCAUGAAUCUAGUGAAACUAGUAAUUUUCUAAGCUCUACUUCAAGUCAUAAUUCAUGUUUUGAAAAUUUUGAAAGUAAAGCAAGAUUCAGAGACUUAAUUAGAGAUGAUGCAUCAGAAGAUGUUAAAACACCCUAUAAGGAGUCUUCAGAUGAAGCAGUUAAGCUUCUUUUGGAGCAAACCAAUGUUUCUUCUCAUAGUGCCCUUCCCUCUCACAGCCAGACAAGAUCUGGUCUGCACCAUAAAACACACUCAGAUCUAGUUGACGAGCAGCAUGUAUUAGAAUGCCAUGGGGAUAGCAUUUCAUGUAUUUCUGGUAUUACGAAUGCCAGCACUGCAGUCCAUGCUCCUCAUAUGGACUCAGACGAUAAAAAUGCAACAUCCAGCAUUCCAUCAACUGGUAAUUUACUCGCCAGAAAAUCUGAAAAGCCGGUCCAGAAUGAAGCUCACCCUGACUGUCGAAUUGAUGAAAUAAAAGAGAGUCAGAAUGAAUUUCAAAUGCCUAGCACGUUGCUCGAAGAAUCUUUACAGAAGAAUAAUGGUUCUAGUUCUGCAAUAGCUGGCUCUUCCCCCAUGUAUGAACAUUCAGAGUUCCAUCCAUCAAAAAGCGAUAAUUCUUCCCAUUGUAAUUAUGUUUCCAAGGAAAGAAAUGCAUGUGAUCAAUUUCCAGCAGUUGAAAUUCCGAAAUGCUUAGGCAAUGAGGAAUCUUCACUAGCACAAGAAUUAGUUGCUGGCAGUAUUGAUGGGAAAGAAAAUACUGCACGUGCAAACAGUGAAAUUAAUAAAGAAAGCAGCACAACAAGUGAAUCUGCUUCAGUUUCUCUGAAGGAUACUGAUGCAUGCAUGGGAACUGAAAUUGGAACUGGCAGUAGGAUCCCAUCUGAUGAUGCUAAGAAGGCCAGCUUCAUGAAAGAGCCACCUGGAAAGUCCAAUUUGUUGUUAGAGACAGCUAAUACUCAGGUAUCCGAGAUCGAACCUCGGACAACCUCGGACAAUGAAAUUGAGGAUGAUGUGAGUGCAUUUCCUAUCUCCAAAUUAUCUCAUAUAGAAUAUCUUAUUUAAUGCACUCUGAGUCUCUACUUUCUCGCAUGAUUUUAACAGAUCAAUGAGGUUGCAUUUAAGCCAUAAUAGAAAUGCUAAAUAAUUCAUCAAUGGCAGAACUAUAAGAAGGUUUUAAUAUCAUGAAAUUUUGUAACAUCCUGGGUCUCUCAGAGGGCUCUUUUGUGUACUCACUGUCCUGCAAUCCUUCGUUUGUUUCUCUUUUCUUUUCUUCUUACUUCUACUGUUGUCUGAAGAUAUUGUAGGAUGCUUAUUCAUUUCUAAAUCAUGCUUAAUCAUAUUGUGUUUGCAGUAUUUCUAUGUUCAUCUGUAUGCUUUUAUUCACAAUCUUCUUUUGUUUUUUUAUUCCUGAAGCAAAGUAGGCAGGGGAUUCUUAAGAUAAGAUAGUUGUUAUGAUGGUAAUCUAGAAGUGUUCAAGUCCUUUAAAUCAAGGUCUCGUCUUUGGAGGAAAAUAUCUUAGCUAGCAUAAACUAGAAGUUCAUCCCAUAUUUCCUUGUAUGAUACUGAAAAGGAUGUCAAAUCUAGCAUAACCUGAAACAUUAGAAAGAUAAAGGAUCGAUAGCAUAUCUUUGUGGCUCUUUCAAAAUUACAUUAGUUGCAAUUGCCAAUUAGUUCUCAUGUGUAGGUAUUUAUUAAAUUGCAUCAGAGAAAUAUGAAUUUUCUUAUUUACAAAUUAUGUCAUCUCUAAGUCUGAAUCAUCACAUCUUAUGUUUUCCUCCUAAAAGCCCAUGCCUGCAGCUUGAGUGAAAUGUGGGUCUCCAGCACCCCAUUUUUUCAAAGAAUAACCAUGAUUAUAAUUACUAAGCCUUCUUGUAACUCUGUGGUCAACUUUACAAGUCCUCAUUUGCCAAAUUUUUGGGCUCUGUGGCUGUUUGCUGUCCUUGAUUGACUUAUCUAGUCCAUGCAUCCCCACUCAAACUUGUUCAUAGCCUAAUAACUACUGUUAACUAAAUUUAUUUAUCUCGAGCAUGACAACUAAUUUGUAAUGCAAUGACUGUAUUUGUUGCCUUCAUUGUUUUCAUAUAUAUUUGUGAUAAGGCCAAUAAUAACCAUAUGGACUUCUGCUCACAUAGAAAAAUGGCUGAUUGCAUUUUUGAAGUUUUUUGAGAAUUUUUAUUAAGCUUAAAGAAAGGGAACAAAGCUAGGGUAUUAAGAAGAUUUGUCAUAAGUUAAUCCCUAGAGACUGCUUCUAGCAAAAGCAUCAUAAAAAUUAGGAAAAAAAACUCAUUCCUAACGAAGUUGAAGAUCUUAUUUUGAUUGGGUUUUUGAGGUAGUUUAAAAUAAGUUGAAGUGUUGAACAGACUUUACAGUUCACAUUUUGGAGGACUUGGCUGAGACAAUGGACUAAGAUCCAUGUGGCCGACCACAAACUAAUUGUGUAGUGUUUGUGAUUUAUGUUUUGUUUACCAGAAGCUGCAAUCUAAUUGCUUCCAAUGAUCUAAGGGGAGUGUAGAAAGAAUGUUGAUUUCACAGUUAAAUUGGUUGACAAGUGGUAUUUGCAAUCUGAGGUCAUGAAGCAUAACCAAACUUAACCAUUGAUCUGAAUUAUUUAAAGAGCCGACUCCACCAUUGAGGAGAGAGGGGUGAGAUGGAAGCAUAAAGUAGAGAUCAUUUACUUGAAGUGCCAUGAUCAAAUGGGGCCUCCUAUUGGAAAUGAAGAUUUGGUUCAUUAUUCAAAUUUCUAAUAGCACCAGUCAAUCUAAAGUGGCUUAGAUUCCCUAGCAUGCUAGUCAGCGGUCACAAAACUAGGGUGCAUAGUUGACAGUGAAAGAUACGAAGGAAAUAUAUUGGUGCGAAACGUAUCUGUGAACAACUGUCACCAAGCAUUCACGGCAUCUAGCCAUAUUGGAAAUAUCCUGAUAGAAGGGCAUGUUUCGACAAAAUUUAGAAAACAUUUGCAAUCUAUUUUGUGAAUUAUUCUGAAAUUAUUAAGAAAAUAAAGAAAACUUCUUUAUUUGGCUGAUGUAAUAUUUGGGUGACAUGCAUUUGUUGAAUAUUUUUAGAAAUUGUUUCAUAAUGUUAUGAGAAUUGCUUUACUAGGAAAUUUGCUAUUAAAGUUCUGGUCUGCUAAGUGCGGUGAACAUUGAAUUAGUGUGGGUUCUUCCCUUCAUUGAGAAUAAGCAUCCUUCAAGGCACUCCUUUUCAGUGGGGCUACUCUAGCAUAAAUCCUAGAUACCAUGCAUGAGUGUUAUGCUUUCAUGUUUAUCCUAAUGUAAGUUUCACUCGUGAAUACAUGUCAGAACAAUGUGGCAGGGCAACAUUGACUUUUUAUAAGCAUUACAAGCUGUUGGGUCCAGAGGUACAAUUGUGUCUGGAUUUCUCCUAUAUCACUGUAUUAUAUUAUAACUGUGUUAUAUUAUAAUGAACCUUAUCCCAGCCAAUCCCAGCCAUCUAGGUUAAGUCUCUGGAUACCUUUAUUUCAUGGGUAACGGCAAUGGACCGAAGGAGGAGGAAGGAAAAACAUAAUCAAUUGGCUAUAAACACAAAGCAAAAUAAUUGAUGUUAACAAUUUCAUUCACCUUGCAUUGUUUGGUUGAAAUUUGUUUCUUUCUUAUUCCUGCCAGCCAUCCCAUGUAGCUGUAAUAAGAUUGCUGGUUAUAGCUUUAUUAUCAAGUGAAAUUGAGAAGUUUGUGACAGAUUUUAUAUGAAAUGUAUAAUGUAUGUAUCUAAUUGUUCCCUUGUCGAUUUCUCUAUGUAUAACUUAUUGUGUGGUCUUUGGGGGACGUCUUGAGCUUUCUAACUGAUCAUCAAAGAGGACAGAUCUAAAGUCUUUCUAUGCAAUCAGCUGAAAGGUCUCCAAGAAGGCAUAUUAUUUAGAUCAAAUCAUAUCUGAAUUCAAGUUGUUCUAGCAUGAAUAAUUCCUACUAAUCUUUUGGCUUUACUUCAUGUUUCACUUUUAUAAAAUUCUAUCGAAGUUCCAGUUUUAGCUACUCCUUCCAAACAUAUUAAUUAAAAAAAUUAAAUUAAUAAGAACUUUUGUUUGAAGUUUUUAUAUUAUGUUGAGGCAAUUGAAUUUUUGUUUGUCCUUAAGCCUCCAAAGGAGCUGUGCAACAUAAUUUUUGUCAAUUUUGAGGUUUUAUGUUAUUUAUUUGAUAUUCAUGUGCUUUUUGAUUUAGGUAAAAGUCUGUGAUAUCUGUGGAGAUGCAGGUCGGGAAGAGUUACUUGCUAUUUGCAGUAGAUGUAGUGAUGGUGCAGAGCACACGUAAGCCCCUUUUUAUUUUGAGUUUGUUGCUUUAUUCUUAAUAACGCACCAUAUAGAGUUCUUUUAAUCAGGGAUAAACACAUUAACAACCCUUUGCUUUCAACCAGUUACUGUAUGCGAAUGAUGUUGGACAAACUUCCAGAAGAUGACUGGUUAUGUGAAGAAUGCAAACUCAAGGAAGAAACUGAAAAUCAGAGGACAGAUAAGUUUCAAGCAACGAGUAAAAUGUUAGAAGUACCUUUUCUGAAUGAGAAAGAUCAGAGUUCUGGAAGCGUGUUUAACCCCAAAGUUUUGCCUAAUUUGGAGACCAAGGAAAUAAAUUCAGAUAUUAAAGGGGCUAAAGGACUUCAAAGUUCUCAAAUCUCAACUAAGAGGCACAUAGAGAAUAUAGUGGUAACUUCAGUGACUGGCAGCUUGGAGGCAGGUGGUGGGUCAAUAGGGAUAACAAGUCCUAGGAAAAAUACUGUGUUAUCACAUGAGAGUUCAUUCAAUAACUUGGAUGUUGGAAACGCAAAGCCAGCUAAUCUAUCACCAUCAUGUGGAGGUCAGUCAGGGAGUGUCUCUCAGCCCAUUGCCUACUCACAAGCUUUUUCUGGUCCUAAUUCAUCCAAGAUUCAACCAGAGUUUGAAUCAACAAGAGGUAAUUUGCAUAUAAUGUCUUUAAAUUUGAUCCUUAUUGUUUUAUAGCUAAGAGAUAUAACAUUUCAGAUAUGGUUUGCUGCAGGAUUAUUGUCAAAGUCGGUGUCUUUCAAAAGUUCAAAAAUGCCAAAAGUCAAACAGUUGAUUGAAAGUGUUCCUCUUAGACAAAAAGUGACCAGUUCCAGUGACUCAACAAAGGAGGGGAUGGUCAAAACAAGUAGAAAAUCUGCAUCUUUUAAGAGCACGAGCUCAGGUUGCAGUGCUGAGUCAGCAAAUAAAACCCAGCCCUUUGAUCUACUCAGGGCAGAGGAUCCAAGAGGAGUGAAACAGUUAAAAGAAAUAAAUGUAAUAAAUAGGAAGAAUUCUUCUAUAUCAGAUUGCCCUUCCAUUAGUCCUUUGGUAUCAGCUAGUACCAGCACUCCUUUUCCAAAGGCGGAUAUAAAGUUUAAACAGCAUGAUGGGAAGUCGAACAAAAUUCCUGAUUCAAGCAAUGUUGGCACAGACAGAGGAUCAAAUAAUGCAAACAAUCUAGGUAAACGUAUCCUUCUCAAGUGGGCCUGUCUGCAUGUACCUUGCUUGCAUCUCUUGUAUUUGCCUAUUUUGUUAUUUAUAAUAACUUAAUAUUUUUUCUAUUUUUUUCACUCUGUGGCCUAUUAGGAUGUAAAGAAGUGAAGAAGCAGUCAUCAUUUUCAUCAAGAACCUGUGGAAGUACUCCUUCAAUUGGAUUACGAAAGUCUGAGGAUCAAAAGCCUUGCCAGCCUGUCUCAAAGGAAAAUGGCUGUGCAAGUUUUGCUGCUGCUGCUGCUAGAUCAUGCUGUAACCCGGACUCAAUUCAACGAUGCAAUACACCUCAGGCUGCAGAAUCCACACAUCGAGAUGAAAAAACAAAGGACCGUACCUUUUCCAGCAGCUCAAGGCAAUCAGCUUCAGGCAGCAGUCGAAUAUUACGUUGUCAAAGGUGUAAUGAAACAGGUCAUACGGCACAAUUCUGUGCAGUUGACAAACUUCGCAUGUCUGCUGUUAAGCCUUCAGCUGAGCGAAAUUUGAGGGAGGGGAGUUACAAAAACAGUAAGUGGAAUGAUGUGGUGGAAGUGACAAAUUCAAAAACUAUACCAUUAAAAAAUAUUAGAUCACCAGAUCGAUCUGAGGAAAUUUCAACAUCGAGUGCUGAUCAGAAUUCUGAAGUAACUUCUAAAGAUUUUCUAUCAGGUUCUUUAAGUUGUCCAAGAAAUCUACCUUCCAUGGAAGGAACAGCUGAUGGGCAAGAAAUAUUGAGAAGCUCUGCUGAUUUUAGCAAAGCAUCAGUUGCCAUUAAUGUGAGGCAGAAUACCUCUUACCAAGAGGAAACUGUAUGUGUUUCAAAAGAUGGCAAUAUAAAUACAAUUCUUAACACUUCAAUUAAGUUGAAUGUGAAGCCUCACAUGCAGAUCUUGCCUGGUCAAGCUUCCGUUCUUGCAUAUCCAUUAAAAGCAUCAAUAUUCCCAAAGCUUGAGUUCAUUUGGCAGUAUGAACUUCACUCUCUUGGUUCAUAUGGUUUAUCCCAAUGUUUGACUUCAUCUGGCUUAGAUAACUAAUCCAUUAGAUAAUGCUACUUAAUUUUCAGGAUGUUUGAUCUUUUUUAUUUUACAUGCAGAGGUGGUUUUAACGUGCUGAGAACCGGGGGAUGUUCAGAGCUCUGUGAUGGUCUUCAGGCUCACCCAUCAACUAGUGUGUCACCAAAAGCACUUGAAGCCGCAAUCCAGUUUCCUUGCAUGAUCCAACUGGAGGAAGUUGUUCGCCAUAGCGCAUGGCCUUCACAGUUUCAGGAGAACAGUCCCAAAGAAGAUAAUAUUGCUCUUUUUUUCUUUGCCAAAGACUUUGAGAGGUUGGUUAGACCAAAAUUUCACUUUGUUCUUGUAAAUAUACUAUUAGGCCCUGCAUGAUGAUGUGAAAAUUAACUUCUCUGUAUGUUUGGUCUGACAGUUACAAGAAUAAUUACAGCAAGCUGUUGGAAAACAUGAUUAAGAAUGAUUUGGCGCUAAGAGGGAACAUGGAUGGGGCUGAACUUCUUAUAUUUCCAUCAAAUCUGUUACCUGAGAACUCUCAGCGUAAGAAAUGUUCUCCUUGCAUAUUGUUGUCGCAAAGGGUGUUUAUCCAUGCAUAGUUGAUGUCAUAAUAGCCAAAGACAAUAUGUACUUCUGACAUAAUUUUGUGGGCGUUCAUUCUUUUCAUAUAAAUGAAAGUCAUCUGAUUAAAAAGAUGUUUUUUUUCAGGAUGGAACAACUUACUCUUCCUUUGGAGUGUAUUCAGAGAAAGGAAGAAAAAAUGCUUAGGUUACAUGCCUGCCUUGCAGGAGAAGCUCAAUAGGCCCAAUUUGAACAUGGAGCCCCUGGAUCAAGAUUUGCCUGCCCCAAUUAUUUCAGGAGUUUCUGAAAUAAGUUCUCAAGAGAAUUCAAAUAAGGAAUUAUCCAGGUCUGAAAGAUCACCGAAGAGGAAAAAGGUCCAUUUAACUAGCAAUGUAGAUUUUCGAGAUAAUUCAUCUUCAGGAAACAAGGAUUGGACUUGCAGUGCACAAGAAUAUUCUGUUGUGAAAUUCUUGCAUCAGGAAGCAGUUGAUAAUAAAAUGCCACUGAAGCAGGCUUCAUGUUCACUCCCCCUAAGCAGCUUGGGACAAAACACAUAUCGUAUUUGUCCUGAAUCAAAUCUUUGGAUGAACUCUGAGCAGUCAUACCUAGGUGUUGCCACUUGGCUGGUGAGCUCUACUUCAUUUUCCACAGGCUUUCUUUCUGAAUUUUUAUUAUUUAUAAAUCAUUGCUACAUCUUUCACAUAUUCAUUAUAGGGAUAUGUCAAAUGGCUCAAACUACCAUUGGCAAUAACUUAUUGUUUCUAGAUGCAGAUACUAUUUCAACUGCUCAUGGUGCAUCACAUUAUAGCUGGAGUGUUCUGCCAUUCCAGUAGUUAAUCCUGUUAUCGAUCUGUGUGUUAUCCAAAAACCAAUUAUUUUAGUAUAUCCAUUUCACUAUGUGCGCUUUUUUUGCACACUGCUGACUUAUUUUUUAAGCUAAUGAUAUAGCGCAAAGUGAUUCAUUUCCAGAGUAAUCAGAACUAUUGCUAGCACUUAAAAGCAUUUAUAAAACAAGUAGCCAAAAAAAGAAAUGUAAAGCAUUGAGUUUGUUAAUCGGUUGGACUUUGUUUUCUUAAGCUUAGUCUUCACAGAACCAAGAUCCAGUAGGUCACUGUAGAAUUGAUUUGCCAAUACUAGAAUAAAUUCUUACUAUCUGCUUAUGCAUGAAGUUAAGAUCAAGUACAGAAACCUCACUUGAAGAAGAGGAAAAAAGGAUUACCUUGUGUUGACAUGAAGUCAAACAGAACUCUCAUGAGCGGUGCUAGUGAGUCCUUGAACAACUUUUGUUAGCCAGGCUACUCUUUCUCAGGAUCUGAGACCUGGAACCUCUAUACGGAUCCUCAUGCGCAAUUGCUUUCAUGGCUGUCUGACAUGCCUUCCACGGAUGAUGAAUGUCAGUAUAUCAGGGAACUGAACCAAGAGCAUGGUUUCAUCAACUGGUUUGUGAUUCUCUGCUCGGUCUAGAUCUUAUUCUGUAAUCACAUAGCACAUCCAACUAUCUUUAAGAUGGGUUUGUUGAUCAUGACACCAUAUCUUAUUAUCAUAGCUAACAUGGGAGACCCAUAUAAUGUCUUGCAUCUGUGAAUUUUCUAAGCAACUCAUCAACCUAUGCAUGCUUCUUGUACAAAUUGGUGAUUUUAAUCACCAGCUUGUAUUAAUCUCUGGUGUGCAUGCAUAUGUGCACCAUGUCAUACAACCACGGAGUAAUUUGAGUUUUCCAUGCUUUUCAUUGUUGUUGCUUUUCCAACCUCUCAUCCUUGGUUAACAUGUGCUCAUCUUUCUUCAGAAUAAUUUCAGUGACAAUUCAGAUGGCAGAGAAGAUGCUGAGCAUUUACAUCACGCAACUAGUGUGCAGACUAGCCAUAGUGAAAAUAGAGCGUCGCCUGCAUACUCAGUUUCCUCAUACUGCAGACAAGGUGAUUGUCCCACUUUUUUUAUACAUUUUAUCUGACUUAUUCAAGUAUUUCAGCUCAUUCUUUCUCAACUUCAAGAAGCAGGUACUGAAAUCAAAGAAAAAGACAGCUUUAUGAUUAAUCAAUCUGCUUUGAAUAAAGACCCACAGGAGAAUGCGGUAGAGAUAGACCAUGUCAGCUCGAGGCCUAACAGGAAGCAAAUGCAAUCAAUCACCAUGGAAAAACUGUCACAUAUUUCUGUUAAAACAAUUCUGUGGAAAGAAGAGGCAAACUGUUCCCUCAGUGAUGAAAAAGAACACAAGAAGAUGAAGCUUGACAAUGGAGGAUUUUUGAGCAGUAAAUUGUCAUCAAAAGUACAUCCACUGUCAUCUAGCUUCAUGAAUGAUAGCAUCCACAAUGAAACAAUUGCUGAGAGCUCAGGAAGUGUUGAAAAGAACUUCUUUGCAGUGGAUUCAGGUUCCAUAUGGGGUAAAAAGGCAGAAAACUUCAUAUGUCUUUCUUCAAACCAUGAAGAUUCACCAGAAUCCAGUGCCCCAGAUCUUAAACUAGCUUUGGGAGGGAAAAAGAGAUCACUGGAACAGGAUAUUUUGCCCUUGUUUCCUUCAAAGUUGUGUGUAAAGAGUAACCAAGAUAAGCCGCCUGCCCCUGCAGUGGAUGAUGGAGAUGAUGUCUCAGCAUCACUUUCUCUGUCGCUUGCUUUUCCUGCCUUGGAAAAGGAACAUACGGCCAAAUCUGUUUCUAAACCAAGCAGCUGAUGCCUGUCAAGCCUAGUGCUAACACAUCCUUUUUCGUCUUUGGUAGCUUUACGGACACUUGAAUCGGUUGGGAGCAUGCUAGGCCUGUAAGUUUUAACCAACUGGUGGAGUCAAUAGCAUAGCAAUCAUUGAGGAUCAUCAAGGGCAAUGUCAGAGCCCUUGUCCAUAUGUUCAUUAUCCAUGCAAAAUCCAUUUCAUUCUUGACUUUAUUUUUUUCAUUUCUUGCUUCAUAGUGCAGAGUCACGGUUGUCUGUAUAAAAAAGAAGGCAGGCUGCAAUUUUAGCAACAUCUGGGGCUCUCAGGAUAUGUAUUUUGUAAGUUAUCAUGAUUACACUUCUUUGCCUUGUUAUGUCUAUUUUGCGAAAAUAUAUGGGGCAUAUUUUAGCAGAUGGCCGUCUAGAUGUCAAUGGACGCUAAGAUAUACCAGCAACUCAUAUGAGAAGAGGCAUGCCUAAAAGCAGCAAUUUUCUCGCUUUGUGCAGCACUGAUCGACGAGUUGGAUAUAUUGAAGCAGUUGCUUGCUGAAUUGGGUUGGCUCCCAAGCUGUCUCUGAUCGAUGGAGCUUGUUUGCUGGCAGCUCAGGUUAUAAGAAAUUCAUCAUGUACCAUUGUCUGCAGCAAUUAUCUGCUUGGAAUGUACAUUUCAAAGAACAGUCUGAUAGUUCUUCAGGUAUAACAUAGAUUCCAGCAUGGGUUCCACAAAGUAUCUUCCCAUAAAGGGUGUAUGGCUGGUGCUUCCUUGAAGCAAGUUCUUUCUCAUCUGGAUACUUGGUGCAGCUUGUUAUGCUCCCUGGGCUUAACUCUUCUUACGUUCUUUGCAUUUUCUGGAGUCCCCAUGUGAGAGCAGCAGGGGAAAAACUUUAUCAGAGGUCAUGUCCAAGCUCAUGCCACCAUGCUAGCCUGAAGUGUCAGCGCAGAUCCUUGGAGAUCACUUCAAAUAAACCGAGAGAUGCCCUCUUCAGAUUGAAGUAUCAGAGAUAACUACUCUAUUUAAGAUCUAGUUGCUGGGCAGGCUAAAUAUGUUUUGGCAAGUGAACGUACAGGAUGUUGGACUCUUUAUCCACUUACUGAAAGAACUGGUACUUUUGACAUUGUAAAGGCGUAUCCGUGGUCUUGACAGUUAAAGAAUGAGCACAAAUUAUGUGGAGACUCAGAAGUGGAAAUAUGAUUGCUGUCCAUGAAUUCCAACGUAUUAUUGCAUCGGUGCAAGCUGCUUCUUGUGUAUGCCAUAGGAUAAAUCCCAUGAUUUGUUAAAUUUAUUAGCCUCGGUUUCAUGAUUAGUUAAAUUCUGAUGCUUGUAAAGCCCAUGAGAUGUGGAACCGCUCAAAAUAAGAAACUCAGCUUUUAGUGAGUUAUAGUGCUGAUGAAUCUUGUAAUCUUUUACAUAUCUAUUCAAAAGAAUUUACUAAUUUGAUUAUUCCUUUUGCAACUUUAUGCUUCAAUGCACUGGACUGUUGCAUCGACUAUGGGAUCCGUUGGUUCCAUUGUUUGGGCUUCUGCAGAUCUUGUUAAUAGAUGGAGCUCUUUUGGUUUUCCAAAUGCUGAAGGCAAAUUUGCGAUCUUCAACGUUCCAAAUUCUGCAGCUUGACACCCAACCGGAACUGUAUAUUAAGUUGCAGCAGCUGAGGGCAAUCAACUCUGAUGCAGUCAAGUUGCUCCUGUACUAAUUUCUGCUUUACAAGCUGAACUUGGCGUGAGCUGGAUAUGUUUUUGAAUGAUUAGAAAAGAUUUGCUAAGUGCUACUAUUGAACUUAAUUUUCAACAAGGAUUUCCAUUCGUGGAUUAUGGAAUCAGUGAUACACAGUAUCAGACAGAACGUACAGACAAUGUUUCCACCUUGGAAGGAUGGCAGAAGGUUGGGCAACUGAAAAGAAACAACAUAGGAAACCAAAGCCUCCGAUCCAUCAGACCAAAGAUAUAGUUUAUAGCCCAAGAAAUUGCCUGACUCUCGUGUCUAAGAAAGCAAAUCCAUGGACCAUGAUUUCCACAUUUAACACCACCGAGCAAGAAUUUGCUGGGUGUAAUGACGUAGAUUGCUGUUUAGAAUCCCAUUUUCUACCUACAAGACAGCCGUCCAUUUUGUGAUGUCAAACUCCAAAUUUCAAGCAUGUGAUUUGAUGACAGGAUUGAGGGAAGCAACCAUAAGCCAGCAUGAUUCAUCAUUCACAACUGUUGCUCAUGAUCUAACUUCAAAAUUUAUAUCCAAAUGAAAAAACUCCACGACAAGCAAUGAAGAAACGGGUACAGAAACAAGAUUUACAUAGAAGCAAAUAGAAAUUAUGAUCAAGACACUCGAAGCAACGACAGUGACCACUUCAACAAAAUGAGUUGAUUUGAAACUAUAAAGCAACAACAAUGCCUACAUGGAGGCUUCAACUUCAGAUUCAGCUUCAACGGGCUCUGUCACCACUUUAUUUCCACCUCUCAACCGAGACGAAACAUUGUCAAUAGCUGAAUUCAGCUGACUUAUCUUUGCAUUCAGCAUCUGACGAGUUUUCUGCUUUAAUAAAUCCUUUUAUGUAAAUAUCUCAAUGUCUAAGAAUCAGAUGCACAUGCAUCAAAAGUGUUUUUUACUUUUAGUGAGCAUAUUAAAGUGUUUAGUUAAUUACCUCUAAACCUUCAUCAUUAUAAUAUAUGGGCCGCUUUGCCCUCUGGAAUCCAGAUUCAUCUUCAUUCAGUAAGGAUCUCCUAAUCUGCAUAGCAAGAAUUCAGAAUGUAGGGUUUAGCCCCUUGUUAAAAAGCAAAACUGCAAAUUGUAAAGCUACUUGAAUAAGUAACUAGCACAUUGCUAAGUCAAUCACAUAAAGCAACUGUUCGCACUCGCCCCACAAAAUUUAUCAGCAAAGAAUCGCCGUCGGGCACAUAUACACAAUGAAUCACAUAGGACAUGAUAACACAUAUCUUUAAAGACCCACUCCAGAUUUUUAAAGAAACUAGAAGCUGCACCAUGGGUUACUAUUCACUUAAAAAGUACUCAGCAUCACCUCAGGGAUUUUAGGAUUUACCAACAUUAUUCAAAUAAAUAACAAUGAUGAUGAAAGCAUAUAAGAAAACUUCGCUUUCACUUUUCCAACAAAUAAAGCUGUAGCAUUCAAUUCAGGGGUUUACAUGGAGAGAGUAUUACAUUUCUUAAGAUACUCAUUGCCCAAUGCAAGCUGAACCUUAUCCAAACAGUGUUUGAGUUUGAUUUUGCUUCUAGGAUAUGUACAGUAGCUUUUGAAUCAAUUUUUUGCAAUAUUCAAUGUCAAGGAAAAAUGCAAAAUAAUAAUAAUAAUAAAGAAUUGUUCUUUAGGAAAAAUGUCAAUACUUAAAUGCAAUAGUAGCUCUUAAGUUUAAAAACCCUGAAAAUAUCUUAACAAUGUAAUGAAUUCAGGCAUGUCCGGUGGUCAUAACCCUAUACCUAGAAAACAGAGGUUUUGGUUUUGAAUCUUGGGUGGUGCAUCCCCAAGUAAUCCGACCAGCAUAAUUACAGUGCAGAAGACCUACCCCAUCAAUUUGGUACGCAGAAAGUAGAUAGCCAAAGUUCUUGAACAAGAGUGGUUGCUAUACCAGACCUUACGGAUACCAGAAGGCAACUCGAUAACAUGAGUGUCAAUAAAUGCUUGGAUCUAGUAAAAGUACUCUUUUAGUGUGUGCACACUUGCAUGCACGGAUAAGUGUGUGUGUGUUCAACUAAGUUUAAUAGGGAAAUCAGCUAAUUACGUAUGAACAUUGUGAAUCAUCAAGCAUUCUCAUUGCUUAUUACUGGAUAGCCAGUUAGGCUAAAGCGAUGAUUGAAAAUUGGAUUUUGUUGAUUUAGAAGUCAAUGCAGCCCAGCUAACGCAAAAUAUGGUUUUCCACCUAAUAAAAACUUGUGAUAACAACGAGACUUGGUUGCCAAUGACAGUGAUGUUCUGCAGAGUUUUGUUUUCUGUUACUCUACCCAAGUCAUUUAGAGCGUUCUCAUAUAUCUUGCAUAAUGACUCAAAGCUACAAGUUGGGUGGUUGAAUUCCUAAUAGUACAAACCAGCAUAAGGCAAAAGGACUCUGUGAAUGCAUUAGCUAGCAUGAUUGAUCACCGGACAUCACAAUAAGUGGAAUAAAUUGGGGCCUCAUUUUUCCAUGGACAUGCUAAAACAAUCAUGCUGUAAAUGUUAAACAAGGUGAAACCUCAUUGAGCUGGCACCAAAUUAAAAACAUAUAGUACAUUGAUAUAAAGUUGGGUUGUUGUGUAAACUAUUUCUCAAAAAAAGGGGAAACACCUGUGGAGCAAAGACAUAGGCUAAUGUUCCAAAAAUUGCUCCACCUAAAAGGAAACCACCAAGAAAAUCACCACCGCCACCUCUUGAACCAUCACUGCAAAUAAAAUUAGAAGUAUAUUAAUGUACCUACUUUUGAGAACUUGAGAUGCAGAUACUAGACGCGCAACUACUUAUAUCAUAAAUACCAGCAUCAUAUAUUCCGGACAGCAAUAGACACAUGUCAUACAUGCAUGAAUGAUGGUAAACUUCUGAAUGAGGCACUAUCCAGCACCAUUCAAUGAGGCAAUCAAGUGUUAUUUAUCUCUGGAGCUGUAGCGCAUGAAUAGCAUUCAUAUUUUUUUAUCAAUUUGUAGUUAUAGGAUAAAAGGGGAAAAUGUAGAAAUAGAUUCGACAACGUGCUCUAAGUGGCAAUUUGUUUGCUUAAAAUUGAACCGCCAACAAAUACAGGCUGCAAUUGGAAUUGUAGUUGCAAAACCUUUUUGGUUUCACUAUCCAUAACUGAAAAUUGCAAAUACAAUCACAUCAAUUUGGUUGUAUGUCGCUGAAAGAUAUAUGGUAACCCUGCAGAUGAUCUAGUCAAGUUCCCUCCUUAGAAACACCGAACUGUUUACUUUCUAUUAUAGUUUAAUAAUCAUCACAUUAUUUAUAAUUAUAAUAAAAAUAAUUACCAUAGUAAUUAUAUCACUAUAAAAUAAUUUGAUGUCCCAAUAAUUAGAUAUGUUAUUAUAAUCAUAAAUAUAUUUAUAAUAUAUGUUAUCACAACAACUAAUAUUUAUUACAUAAUAAUUAUUAUAGAAUAAUUAUGAUAAAUAUUAUAACUACUUACAGAUUAUAAUAAAAAUCAUUAUGGUACAAUAACAACAAUUAAAUAAGUAUAUUAUGAUAAUAAUAAUAAUAAUUGUUAUGCUAUUAAAUUAUUAUAAUAACAUUAUAAUGGUAAUUAUUAUAGUAGCAUACUUUUCUAUUAUACCAUAAUUAUGAUCAUCAGAAACUCCUUUCAAACGUAAAGGCCAUAACAGUUGCAAAAUGACUUCUGAAAUUAAGUAUUUAUUAAAUGUUGAAAAAAGUGUACCUGUACUCAGCAUGAACAGACAUCAACCGAGGGCGACUCGACUGCUUUGAAUUCUGACAAAAUGCCAAUUGAGAUUGAAAACCACCUGAUAGUCUCAGCUGGUUGGACAGAGGGCUGAAUUUCUCAGAGCAAACUCCACCUAACAAAACAGGGAAAUGCACAAGAAAGAAACAAUUUAAGCAGAUAUUGAAAAUAACCAGAAAAACAUGAAAGCUUGAGUUGACUAUUAGCAUAUCGAAUGCCAUUAUUACAGUCACAAAAUUUCUUUUGAAUCCAUAUGGAACUGUCCAUCUCGAUUUCCUAGUUUUUGUGCAACUUAAAAGUUCAAGGACAUAUCAAAGUCAUUUAUGACAUAAGCAGAAAUAUUAAAACUUUAUUAAUAUAGUUCUACUCUACAUAUUCGCAUAUCAAUUUUCUUUUUGAUAUCUUUCCUCUCACAUCCUUGUUUCUCUGAAUCUGCUAGAAUGUUAUUCCAAGCUCUCAACUAAAAUUUCUAUCAUUUUGAGAUAGCAUAGAAUGUUCUGUCUCAUGCAGAAAAUGCUAACAUAAAACAACCUUACACAUGAUACGGAAAAGUGUAGAGAUGAUCAUUUAGAUUACAAAUUGUUGGUUGAGGAAGUGAUAUUUUGGGCUUUCAUUAGAAAUCAAGAGAAAGGCCCUUUUGAAUGAAUCUGGACUGCCACCAAGGCCAAAACCAUUUUCAUAAUCUUUCACCGAUGAUGACGCGAUUGGAUAACAUAGAUAUAGCUCCGUAGUAUGUGAAUAAUGGAAAAUUUGCUUAGCAUCAGCUUCUUUUUUCUUGGACCACUUUCAAAUUUACCUAUAUCUUGCACUUAAGUCAUUCAGCAAUUUUGUUUUUCUUUGGUGGGGGGCGGGGUUGAAGCAAAUUCGGCACUUCAAUUUAGGUCGUUUUUCUUACGAAUUUCCACAACAAUAAACAAAUCCAUAUAAAAAUUCAAGAACACCAAAUUCCCAAGUUUCGGUGCUGAAUAAGGUACAACAUGAGCACCUUCUAAUAUAAACUACAAUUUAAACUCAAAAGAAAAGGGAGAAAGCGAGCUGAAGGAAUACAACUGUAGUGAUUUAACAAACAGCGCAGCUGUCGAACGGAACUACCAAGCCUACGCCACGGUCCCAAAAACAAUAACCUCCUUGCAAAAAAGAUUACGCGACACAGAUUCAAUACUAAAGACCCCAAGGACUGUGAGAUUAACAAAUAAGCAGUACUAAAUCUUCUGAGACAAAUACCGACACGAGUAGAAUUAGAGAUUUAUCGAUCUCUAGAUCAAGAAACAAAAGAACCCUGACCAGGAAUAGAGGAGGAAUCCGCACGGAUUCGAGCACCGAAACCCUAGAAAUCGACCUAGCAGCAAUAGAAAUCAAACGGAUUUUCAAUCAAACGAAGGAGG